rnacentral:lncRNA from 1 species
UUUUUUUUUUUUUUUGUCAAUUCCUACUCAAUGUUACAAUAUUACGCAGCCUCGCACCUUGGUUUGCUGGGAAAUUUUGCGCUUUGAUAGAAAGAACGAAUCUCGAGUCUUGAGCGUACAAUGGGCUAUGGGUCACACCAGCGUACUUAUUAGCAUUCCGAAAGGAGAAAAAUACGGUUUUGAUACUCAAAUUUUAACUUUUUUUGUCGUAAUAAUAAUAUUUGUAUAAUCUAUUUUAAUUUAAUAUAGGGGAAGGAGGCCUAGUCUACGGAAGAAAGGGAAACUUAACCGACAAAAAAUCGUCGGAGAAAACUACUUAAAAUUGACAGUCACACUUAAGUGGCAAAUAUACGGUGAAAAGCAAAAUUUCACCACCCCACCAAGACUUUACCAACAGCCUCUUGGCUGUUGGCUGAUACUCAAACUUUAAUUCAAAUGUUGGCUAGUUUUGAGCGUGUCAGAAUUAAGUCACAUGAGGAACCAAUAAUGUUCCUGCUCACAUUAUGUCAAAAAUAUCUUUACUUUUGAGGGGACUAGAGUUUGGUUUAUGGACUUCCCCAAGAGGAGGACCAAUUGAUGCUGUGACCACAUAUUCAUCAUGAAUGAAAGCCUCCAAAUUGUUUUUCAAAAAAAAAAAAUUUCUUGAGUUAUUUUGGUAUCCGAACUUUGAAUAAAAAUAAUUGUAAUACUUAAUGUUACAAUAUAUAAGUCCAUACAGUGCACUUGACAGAUUCUUUUUUUAAAAAAAAAAAAAAAAAUUUCCUACUUCGAAAAGUUACUUAUUGUCCAGCCACAAAAUUUUAAAAAUUUCAAAAAAAAAAAAAAACUGCCAACCUCAUGGCUAAUGAUUUAAGGACUAAUAGAAUGUGACUUAGUCAUUUAAAAAGAAAACAACUCAACUAAAGAAAAUAUCUAGUCGAGCUACUCAUAUACGCUCAAAACUCCUCUAUUCUCUUGUCCGUACCCUUCAAUAAAUCAAAGCAGCAAAAAACAAAAAAAAAAAAGCUUUGGGACCCUUACUUCAAUCGAAUAUUUAUUGGAUUCAACCAUGAAAUCAUACCAAAUGUACUUAAAUAUUGUAAUAUUAGAUAUUGAAUUUAUUUUCAUCCAGAGUUUUGGAACUAAAAUUGCUCAAGAAUUAAAGUUUGGAUAUUAAAAUUGCAUUUUACUCUUUGAAAAAUCUUACCCACUGGCUAAAGAGAACCAAAAACGAAACAGCAUAUUUGAUAGGAGGGGGACGGUGGAGAGUAUGGUAGCAAAAGUUCGCAAGAGCAAUGUUGAUCUACUACUAGUACUUGUUAUGGAUUUGAUUUCUCUUUUGUUCUUUUCCAUGCCAUACCCCAUUUGAUAUUUUGAGCCUGAAGAGAGGUGGGGUUGAAUGGUUCAUGUUCCCCACCCACCCCCCCGCCCCCCUCUCUCUUCCAAAAAUUGUGCGACAGUGAUUUGAGGUUGCAUGUGUUCCUGUCUGAGCCAUGGUUCAACUAAAAAAAAAAAAAAAAAAACUUGGCCGUAACGGAUCUUCUGUCCCACACUCUAUGCCACUUUUAUUAUAUUACUAUUUCUCCUACAUAAAUAUCAUGUUUUAAUUUUUUUUUUGUUUCAUUAAAAUCCAAUAACUAUUAAUUAAGUAAAAAAUAAUACAACAGCUUCAAAAAAGCAAUAUAUAUAGAAAAUUUAAAAAUACAGCAGAAAAUUCAUUAAAAAUCUCAUUUUUUAUGCAUUUUGAUUUUUUGAGUUUGUUAAAUUUUGUGUAUUACUCAAUUAAUAGUUAUUGGAUCUUAAGGAAGCAAAAAGAAUUAAAACAUGAUAUUUAUGAGGAAGAAAUAGCAAUAUAAUAAAAAGUAGAACAAAAAAUGGCACAGGACGUGGGAUAGAAGAUCCGUUGCGACACACGACUGUUGCUUGUGGGCUGUAUAAAGUGUAAAGACGCUGCCAAAACCAGCAAGACAACUAUAACCUGGGCCAGCCAUCUGUUCGCCUUUGCUCUGCACCUGCGUUGCGGCCUUUCCCAGCUCUUGCUUUCUUUGAUUAUGAAAAGAAAGGGGGACGAUUGUUGUGGGGACCGCUCCCCACCAAUUUGUCACAGUUAAAUGUGGCCCCACUUAAUUGUAUCCGUCUGAUUCCGUGGUGGUUCAGUUCUUUCCGAAUUAUCCCAAGACCUAUUCAGGCCCUCCCCCUCCCUUCCCCUUCCCAUAGUAUAGCAAGCUAUUGUAUUGGAAAAAAAAAAUCAGUAAUUUUUAAUUAAUUUCAUACAUUUGGUUCUUUCUUUUCUCUUUUUUGUUUUGGUGGUAAUGGGAAGUGUCAAGGAAUUUACUAGCUACUACUUUUUGGCUCUUGCUAUUAUUUAUUGUUGUUUACAUGACUUCUUCUUUUUAAGAAUUGAGUUGAUGUAUUAUGUUAACAAAUUGUAAACUGUGUUUUUUGUUCGGCUCGUGUUAAAAAAAAAAGAGAGAAAAAUUUUACACUCACAAUGUAUAGAAAUUAAUUCCAUCUUCUAAAUGAUUUUUUUAAAAAAAAAAUUUAAAGUGAUUUUGAUGAGUUAAUUUAAUCAAAAAUUGAUUUGGAAAACACACGUAGAAAAAGCAAUAUCAUAAAUUCCGGAUAGAGAUCAGAUAUCAGAAUUACAGGGCGGCAGGCGAUCCACUUGCAGCCCUUGCUCGUACGAGAAGAACGGAGAGUUUUUCCCACUUCCUCACCAUUGUUUUUCCAUCAGCAGGAAUCCGAGGAGUCAAAUUUCUGUCAAAAUCCCACUUUCUCCAGCCUCCCCAAAAUUUAUCUCUGCCUGAUACAAAAAGGCCCUAGAAUUUUCUAAUUUUAUCUCUUGCCCUGUCCGGUUUAAAAUGGAAACCGAAUCACCGCCAUACGUUGGAUCUGGCUUUAUCUCCACUUUGACAUCAAUCAAAGAGAUGAAGUAGCAACUUGUCGCAUGUCAUUCAAGAACAUGCCUCUGCCAUUAUCGACGCAUCACACACUUACGGAGAAACCAUGAUCUAAACAGGCUUACAAGCGUGCAGAUUCUCAGGCAAAGAACAACAUAUAAUGUGCUUUCUGCAAAUGCAUCCACUACAUUUAGUUCCGUCAAGCGUAUGAACCAUGCAUGCGUAAUCUUCCACAAGUUCACUUAAUUAAAUGCUGUACGUUCACAAGCUUAGAUUGGAUUUGCCAAUAUUUUCUAAGGCACAUUGAAGAUUAAAAGAAAAAUUACAUAUAAUUAUUCGUUUCUAUACAUGUUGUGAGCACUUAAUUACUACUACAACAGUAUGAGAAUAAACUUUUCACUGGGUGCCAUUUAGCGACGAGAACAAAAGGAAUGGACAUGUUAAAUCAAAGUACUCUCUCAAAGAGAACUUUGGCCAUAUGGAAAUUGACGGUUCCUGGAUUGCAAUGGGCGGUGUAGUAGAAGCUCCUUGCCACUGUGAGAAAUGUUUGCUUGACAUCAGCAUCUAGAUCGCUCGGGCUACUGGUGAGAACAAGCUUCGCUAGUUCUUGCAUGUCUGCUUCUAUGGAGCUGACGCUUGUGAUGCCACCCGCGUUUGCACUUCCAUUAUUAUCCCUACCAUGUACCUGAUCAAAGGUGGGGCGCAAGUUAUAUAUUUCUUUAAAUGGUUUCACACGAAAGAAGCAGUAAUGAUAAAGCAAUAACUCAGUCCAUUCUAACAUAAUUGAUUGAUGAGUUGGAUGUCCGGACGAUGCCACACACAAAAGUCAGUCCGAGUUGCCGUAUUUUUACCCAAAAUGUCGAAUAAAGUAGCUACUAUGGAAAGAAAGUUGUGCCACCGCUGGCUACUAUGUCUCUAACCUUUUUGUUUUCGAAAUGACGAAUUUGGUGACAAACUCUAGAAGUGAGACGCAUGAGCUGUUGAUACUUGGGAUGGGACAACAAUAACUCCUCCGAUGGGUAGCCGCCGGCGCACAGAUUUAGUGUGCGCACUGUAAGUUCUGCUUCCUCUUGACCCAUCUCACCUCCCUCUUGCAAAGCUAUCAACCACUUCUCCCACUACGUAUUCCCAAUCGAAAUUGGAAAAAAAAAAAAGAAGAACAGUUAAAAAGUCAAAUCCCACGUAUCGUUUACUGGAUAUAGUUGGCAGAAAAUCUUGUGACAAAACAACAGCAACUCACAGCGCGACGCAGAUAUUGAUGGAUGUCUCUGCCGUGUACUAACACUGCGUCCAAAGACAGCUGAUUCAGCGUUCCAAGUACAGUCCUGAGCAAUCCUUGGGUCGGCCCGUAUCUGCACCCACCACUCACUUCCUCAAAAUAAUAUUCAACGGUGGUAAUCAUUUUGUGCCAAAAAAGGGGAAAAAUGUAUUAACAUCUCGAGUCUAUAUUCUUUUUCUGAAACAUGUACAAAAAAUUUCAUCGCCGGUCUCUGCUCCUCAUUUAUAGAUAGUUUCGCAUAUUUUUAAAAUCCCAAGUAUACAAGCAAAGGAGUCAAAAAGAAAAAAAAAAGAAUAUGUUUUGUAAAUAUCAUUUGUUCUGUUUGAAUUAGCUAUUUUUGGAGGUGUUUUUGAAAAAGAAAGAAAGAAGGGACGGAUACCUUCCACCAGAGGUGUGGUCAAGGUUAGAGGAGGAGCGUUGGAAGUCGCGGAGAAAGGCCUCAAUGUGAUCCCCUGCCAUUUGCUCACUGCUGAAAUAUGAUGUGAGGGUGGGAUGAGGGCAGUUGUUUUGGCCCAGGCAAGCCGUUCCUUUGACCUUUCCGGCUCGAACACACUGGCAGCUGCCAGAUAAUAGGCCAGGAGAAGGCUUCUCUCACUUAGUCCAUGCUCUCCAAGGCCGCAUUCCGCAUACCAUCUGUUUAGAAAUUCAAGCAGCUUUCAAUACAUUGGAAUUUAAUUGCAUGAUGACGAACUGGUUUAUCCACUAUUAAAAACCUGUUUAUGCUUCCUUCUUUUUUUUUUCUUUUUUAAAACUAAUUCUUGAUAAAGAUAGGAUGGGGACACCAGCUUUAGGCGUUGCGAUGUAAAUCUGAACUUACUUUUGUAUCCUUCUCCACUCCAGCUGAUGCAGUGCCUGACAGUUGUUGUAAUCUGAUUUCCCAAGCUCAAGGUAGACGUUGUUGUUAACUUUUCCCAUCCUGAAAAGUGAACAGAAGGGUCAAGUUAAUGGACAUCCAGAAGGGUUAACUUAAAAUGAACGGAAGGGAACUAUAUAGGCGUGAAUUUAUUUAACCCAAUGCUAGACUAGACACCACGCAAAAUUUCAAGAUGAGAGCAGUAAUGAUGCCGUCUUCAAUUUACGCCUUUACCAGCGAAAGACCUGACCAUCCUCUUUCAAAUCACUUUGACAAUUCAAAAAAGCGAUUCUGAUUCACAACUCCAUUAACCAUUUUAAAUCCCACCCACGCACCAUCUCAAUGUUACAGCAAAACUAUCAUUGCUGAUGUAUACUACUAAUGCUGAUGUAUUAAGCUGAAGAAAGGUAAAAUGUCAGGAUGGCAAAAUGAAGAGGAGAAGUAUUAGUUGAAGUUACAUUUUAGUAGAGAUAUAUACCUGUACAAUGUCUUGCCAAUCCAGACAUCGUCUUCGCCGCCAUAUUGUUCUAGUACCAUCUGGUUUCUACACGAGGUAAACUGGCAUACCAUGGAACGUCUAGAGCGUAUCCGACCUGCACUCAAGUCCAAAUUAUUUUUAAAGCAGACUAGUAUUAUUACUAGUAAUAACAUUCUUUUUAUUAAUGAAUUGAUUAAUUUCAAACGUACCUCGCCAGGCAAAUCUUUCAUGAUGAUCCAUUUAUCUAGGAGCUCAUUGUUAGCUCGCUUAUCUUGCAAGAAUUCCGACGAGAACUUCCUGGCAUCGGCAAGUACCUCCUCCCCAGGAAACAUCACCUGACAAGCUCUGUACAGGUUAUACAUCCCGGUCACAGCCUGGUUCGACUGUCCGGCAAAGGCAAAGAAUCCACCAUCCUUCUCAAAGUUACGGAAGACAUCUGUCAAUUACAACGUCGCCUUAUCCUUAUCAGAGCGUCGCAUACUACCAUGUACUGCAACGAAAUUAUAAACGGCAAGUAAUUAACCUGCAGAAACCGUGUAGCCGUGCUGCCUUAGGAGUCUGAAACCCAUUGCUGUGUCAUCAAUGUCAUAAACGUGGGUAUUUCUAGCCCAACAGAUACCUUUCUCCGUCCAAUAUCUGACAAUUAUGUAGGAUCGAUGAUCAGUAUUAAUUUUGACGUUUGAUGUUAGUCUGUGUUACGGAAGAAUUUAGUUUCGGGUAGGUAGUCGAGGUUUGAUCAGAUUUACCGGUGAACAUAAUCGAUACACUCCUCGAUUUCUGGCUUGAAAUACCGAGAAAUUCCCAGUCUUUGAAGUCGAUCAAUAGCCCAUAAGUGUUCGAAUAAGUCCACAGGGUAUACGUUCGGAACUAGUAAAUGAUAAGCAAUUUUGAAAAAAAAAAAAAAUAUUCAGAUCUGGGAGGGUUUAAUGUAAAAUAUAUAUAUGUGGCAGCAGUUUGAGACGAUGUCUGGCGGCGUCUAUUUACCUCCUCCGUUGAAUUUUUGUACGAUUUUGGUCAGAUAUCUGAGGCAAUCAGCAUUCUUAGUCUGCAUGAGGGCAAAACCAGUGGAGGAUGGAGAAAACAGAAAGGAACCAUCCUCACACUUGAGUGAUAGUAGCCUUUGCCAGUCCAGAUCUGGCAUACCCUCCAAGCUAUGGAGCAAUGUUGUGGGUACGGUGUGCAUUAUUUCCUUGGGUAUCCUAUCAUUGCAAAAAACCGGGCAUUAAACAAAUGAAUAAAGGGUCUUUUUUUUUUUAUCAGAUACAAUAGACCUACAUUAGGGAAAAAGGAUCUGAAGUGAUCCAAAAGUAAUUCGAAGGGGACUGAAAAAUACUACUGAAUCAAAUGAAUGCAUCACACACUCGUAUGAAUUAUUUUAACCAGAUCCACAUAUUGUUGUGAUAAUUGAUAGGAGUCAAAAGCUUAAAGCCUUACCUUUCAUCCCAUCAAAUCUUAAUACUUUUUAGUGGUGACCACCGCGAUAAUAAAAAAGAAUCUUUUAUUACGGGCUGGUGUAAAGGGUCUUUCUUUAGAAGGAACCUUGCUAGGAAAACUUUCCCGUAAUAUAAUAUAUAAUAUGCCAGUACCUGUUGUGUAAGGUGAGCAUACUUUUUUAGCAAAUUGGUAAUGGAAUGCAAGGUACAGCGUGACAGUGACUGUAGGACCCUUUUAUUUUAUAUUUUUGGUCGGUUUAUGGGGUUGGGUUUGGAGUGACCCGGGGGCGGAUUUUUCUUUUGGUGGGGAGGAGGGGCGGGUUUGGUUUGGAGAACGUACCUUGUUAGCUUUAUAUUUCUUCUGUCGUAUAUCUCUUGCAGGAUUGCAGAAUCAGCCGGAAUCUCAAUGCUCAACUUUUUGGCUAUCUCAAUUAGCGAAGGAAAUGCCACUUCAAAACCGAUAGGCAUGUGCUCAGCAUUUUCAUCCUCUAGCUUGUGAAUGUUAUCCCUUAUGAACAAUAAUCCUUUGAAAAAAAAGGAAGUUCAGGACUUAAUAGUUAGUACAGGAAUUAGAAAUGAGUCAUGAUCUUCAUCUGAUCAAGUCCUGUAGUUGCAAACAAACCACUUAAAAAACCCACACGCUCAAGAGGAUGAGCAGAUUCAAUUUUCGAUGAUUUGCACUACCUUUUUCGCAUUUUUCAGGAUGCAUGUUCCAGGAUUUCAACGCAACAACACAUCCCAAAGUGUUGAGUAUCCGGUCGUGAGCCGAAAAGAUUUUGCUGUCACCCCAUGAACCAUCGGAAAGCUGAUUAUCGGCGAUCCACUGGAGACUCGUAGCAAAUUGAGGGCCGCCGCUUCCGUUGACAUCUUCCACAAGGGCAACCCAUGCAGUGUCGUAAGCCGAUAUGCUUAUGUCCCCAUCAUCCAUGGAACGGAGCAUUGACCGAAUGGAUUCUAUGCUCUCUUCUAUCCUACUUGAUGUGCUUGCCUUUUUUAUUUUAAGUGGUCGCAGAAGAAAACAUGGGAAUCAAUUUCCAACAGAAGCAAAGAAGAAUUUUGCUAAAGCAAUUAAUCGAAAUGAGAGCUAUUUAUUUAUUGUUCAUGGUAUUUUUAUGAAUUACCACCUCGACAAUCCCAUUUUCAGUGCUGCCUUCUUCCAGAAUCUCUUGCCACUUUGUAACAGGCUUGCCAUUUUGGGACCCCUCAUCUAAUUCUGCAUGAGAUUUGAGCAUUUAGAUUAAACUCAUGUUGGCCCUUGAUUUUUCAUUUCACUUAAUUUUCUUUUGGCAAAAGUCUUAAAUUUUUGUGAACCUUUGGUGGGAGGACUGGAAACCGUGCUACACCGAAGACGGAAAUUAUGGUGAAGCGAUUUGCCUGGCGACCAAAUACCUACAAAAGAUGGAAUAUUGAAAUCAGGGCAGGGAUCCUCAUUUCUUCCUCCACUACAAUCAAUGCACCUUUAGUUUCAACCAAUGGUAAUCGUAAUUGAAGAUUUACGCUGAGAACUGAAAUAAAGAAGCAGAAAAAACAUAGUAGAAGCAACAAGAGCGCAGGGCUCCACACAUGCGCCUUCUUCUGAGGACUCAACUCCUCUCAUAAACCAAGAGAGAGUGAUCUGAGAGACAGAGAGACAGGGGUGAUGAAACCCACUACUAUCAUGAUGAUGGCCUUCAAGUUUUUCUUCAUUUUAGUCCAGUUACUUGUGACACUACUAAUUUUAUUGGUAAAUCUGUCCAUGCAAAGAAAGUUAGUAUGAUUUAGGUCGGAAAAGCCGUGUUGGCAGAUUUUCUGACCAUUUGUGCUAAUGAAUCGAUCGUGCAGUAAACGGCAGAAACCAAGUGGAGUAUUAAGGGAAGAGAGAGGGCAGAAUACGAUAUACAAGCUAGGAUUUCCACAACCAAGUCUUAGAUAUCAACAUACCCGAAUUUAGAGUGCUUUCAGACGGCCCACUGUUAGGAGGGAAUGAUACAAAGCGGCGGGUAGUGUUGCAUAAUCCGAGAAGGGUGGUUGCUGCUGCGGUAGCGGAAGCCAUGGCGAGUGGAUGAUUGAGGAAUGGGCUGGUUUUCUCGGAAAUUUCUUGACAGGAGGGAGGAGGAGAGGAGGAGGGGAGGAAGAUGGGCUGUGUUAAAAAGAGUUGGAACUCCUCUAAGCCAUGGUGGGGGAAGUCGGACUGGUAUUUAAAAAUGGAGAACGAGGGGCAGAGGAGAGGAAACAGACAGAUACGACACCUCUGCAGAUUCCCGCUAAUGGGACGCAUGGGAUCCUACAAAUUUCACUACUACAUUAAGAAUUGAGGGCGGUCAUACCUUCUUUGGAUUACGGUUUUUUUAUAAUUUUUUUUCAUAUAUAUUAAAUCGUUAUAAUAUAAUUUUUAAAAAUUUUAAAAAAUAUAUCAAAUCAUUAUAUAUAUAUAUAUAUAAUUAUAUAUCAAAUUAUUAUAAUAUAAAUUUUUCCAUACAAAUUUCCUAAAAUAGCAAUGCCAACAAGAAGGCCCGGAGUCUUUUUCGUUCUCCUCUCUCCUCUUUCCCCUACCUACCACUUUUCAUUUUCACACCAGCCCAGCCUCUCUUUUUUUUUUUUCUUUUCUUUUCUUUUUGACGGAUGGGAUAUUCGAGCCAUCGGAUAAACCAGACUCGAUUAAUCCCCCACCGAUCCGAGAGAAGAGGCCACAUCCCCCCAAAUACGUUAAUUAUGGGACUCGAACCCUUGCAGGAGACUGGACAACGACUCUUAAGGAAGAUGUCGUGACCAAACGAGCUGCCCAUGAGGGCACCACCCUCUCUUAUUUACUUACAAGUCGUUAACAAUUUCUAUUGAUCCGGGUCUUGGUCCUGUCCAGCCUCCAUUUCAUUUUUCUUUUUCUUUUUCUUUUUUUAAGUCAAUAUGUAGUUGGUUUUAUCUAUUAGGUUCAGGCAGAAAUGAUUGCUGAACAGGAAAUUAUCUGUGAAAUAUCCUGGCAAAUUCGAUUUCCAUAUUUGACUACAUGUUGGUUGUGGACCAAAGUUUAUUACCCCAAAAUUCGAGAAAGUGAACCUUGAAAGAAGCAGCCGAGUUUGCGUGGGAUUACUGAUUAGUAGUAUUGGGGUGGGAUCAAUUUUAGUGAGUGGAUGAAAAUUUAUUGGACUCUCUGAGUAAGUACAUUAAUGCGGAAGAUUUACAAAUAAAGGGGCGGGUGGUGACUAUUUUUUUAUAGUAGUUUAAUUAGCGCCUAGAGAGUACUCAUUUUAAUAGUGGGCUCACCUCUCUUUUUUCUCUACUUAUUUAGUGCCUAGAAGUACUAAAUGAAAAAAAAAAACAUUUACAGUAUAUUUGGCAUAUGCGCGUUAGCAGAAAACAAAUCUCUAUGCUGCAAAUUUAUAAAAAAAAAAAUUUACGUUUUUCUUGAACACAUUUUUUUAUUAUUUUUUAUUUCACAUAUAUCAAAUCGUUAUAAUAAAUUUUUUACAAAAAAUUUCAAAAAAAUGCAAUCCAAACAAAGAGGCCUUCUCACAGCUUUAGGGUUACUAAGCAUCAUCUAAUCUAAAUUAAGUAAUUAACCAAAGCGUAGAUCGCCAUCAGCAACACUCUGCCACGAUAGCAGUUCUAUUAGUGUUCGUACUCCACUAGUCAUAUUGUCUUCCAAAUUUUAUUUAUUUUUUAAAUUCAAGGAGGCUUAGUCUCUUGCGAGAAGAAAUGAAAAAAUGGAAGCAUUUGAGAAUCACCUAAUUAAUGUUUCUAACAACCAAUUCAGAAUAUAGCCCUAAAAGGAAUCUUUUUCCAUAAAAUUUUUACGUUUUUCGUGAAUAUAUUUUUUAAUUAUUUUUUUUAUUUUACAUAUAUCAAAUCGUUACAGUAUAAUUUUUAAAAAAAAAAACUUCAAAAAAUAGCAAAUUCAAACAAGUGUGCGUGAUUACAAAAUGCUUAAAAAACGAGUGAAUAAUUCUAACCACGUCACACGUAACGAAGAUGGUCAUUUUGUUGGGUAGAUGAAACUUUGAUAUGUUAUUAUACUUUAGUAUUUUUCUUUUCUUUUCAAAAUAAGAAUUUUGCAAUAAUACGCCUUGAGGUUUCCAUAUGUCUUUUUCUCAAGAGAAAAUAAUCAAACAUAAGCUACUCUGGGAAUUGGGAAAAAUCAAUGGUCAGCUUAAACUAAAGCAAUCUUUCAUGACCAUGAUAAAGCAUCGACUUUUCUGAGGUCCAUGGCAGCUUAUGACCAAAAAAAAGAUAGUAAAGCAAUAGCCGCGACCUUUUUUUUUUUUUUUGGAAACUCAGAAAUAAAUUUCACUUAUGAAAGAUAAGCAAGAGCAGCAUCAAUAACCUUCUCGGGGAAGCUUACAAACCAGACAAAGCACUAUAGUGAUAAUUAAGGUGCAAACGAAUUGAAUCGAGUUAAAUUUAAUUUUAUAAAUCUCGAAUUCGAAAUUAACGAGCUUGAGUUGAAAUUUAAAAAUAAAAAAUAAUUAUUUUAAUUUUAAAAAUAAGUAAAAUAAUAUUUUUAAUGAAUAAAAAUAUAUUUUUUUUUAUUAUUAAAACUUUAUAUAUAUAUAUGUGGUCGAACCGACUCUCAAAGCAACAAGCUGGAUAAAACUAUUCGGUUUUAGUGGCAGAUCGCGGAUUGAGGUCCAUGGGAGUUCGUGACUAUAUGACUAAUGUUAUUAAAUACUACCGUGCAAAGUUUUGCAGUGGGCAACCGUCAAUAUAAGAUACGGUAAAGCAAUAGACAAUAUCUCGGCAGGAGCGCUGUUCAUCGUCCUCACAUGACAAAUUUUGACAAAUCCAAAAUUAGCUAGCAUAGAUCUGACCCCACAUCGAAAGAUCAGGUUCAUCACUGUUAAUUCUCAGAGCAAAAUGUUAAUUAAGAGCAUCACCUUCCAAUUAAAAACAAAAAUGUGUGAUUGCAAACUGUUAAGGCAGUGAGAAUGGCUUUUUUGAAAAGCAUUCUUCAUGUUCUGCAGUGCACUGAAUGCUCAGCCAUUGCUGCUCCCACUCGACCCAAAUGUUUGCCAUUUCCCGCAUUAAUGGUCCGCGAUCAUUAAGCAUUCGCUUGCUGAGGUCCAUUGCGGUUGCAGCUAAAGACCUUCCUGUUAAUUACUGUACUGCGCAGAUUUGUACCGCAGCCAGUAUCAAAUAUGUUAGCAUGCUUGAGAAUGAUCAUGAUAAUAAUAGCAUCAUUGAGUCGCCAAAAUGACCUUAUUAUUUCCAUUCGUGGUUUGUUGAAUUGGUCAAGCAUGUCAAAUUGGACAUUGAGCUCAGGGAGGACCAUGCAGCUAGUCAAAACAUUUUUUUUUUUUCUUCGUCUUAAAAUCAUUUCGGUCAAAAGCAAGAAGCCAGAGUAAAAAAAAGGGAAAAAGGGAAACUCGUUUUCUUUUCUUUAUAUGCUUCCAUCAAAUCAAACCAGCUUUUUUUUAAAAAAAAAAAAAAAAGAAAACUUUUUUUGGAUGCAGUAUGUCAUAUGUCCAUAUACUACGAAACACUCUAGUAGUAGUAGUUGGUAGGUUAAUUACGCCACUAAUUUAUCAAGUCCGACUAAGCUCCGACCAUGGCUAAUUCGACAAAGGUACCUCAACUCCUCCGAAGCUCCUCAGUUCUUAACUUGCUGCUUUAUUGUUGGAAAUUUUACUCAAAAAUCAUUUUGUACCACCAUAACAACAAGAGAAGAAACAACCGGUCCAGAUGAAAUCUGAAUUGAUUUAGAAUACAGUACAUCCUUGGAUAUUAUAUAUGCAUUUUGGAUCCUUUGCCUGAUUGGAAAUUACCCAAAAAAAAAAGUCUGCAACAACUACUAUUUAACCUAUUCUUACUCUUACCGCCGUAUGGGAGGAGCCUAAACGAGUUUGUAUGGAGGGGAUCCAAUGACCAGGAAGAACUCCUUGACACGCUCCCACGCUCCCAUGCACGGUCUGGCUCUUAUUCUUAAAAUAAAAGCUUAAAAAAAUUGAGAGAGUGCGUGUACGGUCAAUUAGAAAUAUUCAUAGCCUCAUUAAUGUCCUUCGUCCUUUAUUUAUUUGUUUAUUUUUCAUUUAUUUGACGUGUCGAGGUACCACAAAAAAAAAAAAAAAAAGGUUGAGGUUGAUUUAAAUACAAAGAUUUAUCCCCCCUCUAGUUCUCGCUCUCAGCCCUGUACUUACUUUCCCACACGUGGAUAAUGGACAACAACAAGCAGCGCAAUUUGCUGGGACCUUCUCCGCCUCAAUAAUGUCCUUUGUCGUUUAUUUAUUUUUUUUCAUUUAAUAUUUCUCAGGUAUUGCAGAAAAGGACAUUGAGAUUUGAUUGAAAUGCAAUUGAAACAUAUAAUUUAAUCACCAAAUCCAACUUUACCCCGUUAGGACGAACAAGUAGUGCGAUUUGCUGGGACCUUCUCCACUUUCUUUAGUAGCUGUCUUUUCAUGUUUUAUUAUAAUCAUUCACUAAAACGAGAACGAGAACGAAGCCAACUCAUACAAUCCGAUCUAAAUAUUUUGCAAAUUACCAUUAUGCAUAUAGUUAAACCUAUAAAAUUAAUUUGAUUGCCCAGUGAAAAAUACUUUGCGAACGGCUCGAGUAGAUAAUUUUUAACCCUGCGGUAUAUGAGAAGAUUUUUCAUUUUAUUUUAUUUUUGGUCUUUUAUUUUGUCCGUUUUGCAAGGAGUACAAAAAUUUUAUUGCUUCAGAAUAGGACCACGAAAUUAAUGUAUUAAUUGUUAGGGUCAUAAGGGCGAGUUGUCGUGGAAUUAGGAUGUUGACGCAUCUAAUGCGAGCCGUUCAUCUUAUUGCUUGGACUCUUUAUAAAAAAUAAAAAAAAAAGGACUCUUUAUUCCUGUCUCUGGAUUUGGACACAUGGAUACAGAAUCUUUUUUAUACACUUUCUCUUCGAUGCUUUUUUUUUUUGCUGACGUUUUCUUCCUUCAUAUAUCAAGCCAAAUUUAUGACUCCAUGAAUCAGGGGCAAACUGCUGAGGAAAGCAUGAAGACAGAAGCGGAUACGAAAUGAUUCGAUGUCAUUUUCAAGAAAUACAUGGCCUCUCGACUCAAUACCUUCCCAAAUAUCUAAGUAUAACUACUAUUAGCAAUACGGUGUAACCUCUAUACCAAAUACUGGCCAACAAAAGUUAAGCACGCUGUUGUUGACCACGAAUUAUAUAUGUUUGUACAUCAUCGAAGAGAGUUUUUUUUUUUUUUCCUUUCUUGCUAAUUUUAACUUCGACGGUACUUUGAAAUAAGAUACUUAAAUUAAAUCAACCUAUUAUCUAGUUUUGACUCGAAUCGCUCGUGAGUUCGAUUAGUUUACAACCUCAAAAUUGACGAUCAACUAGGUGGUUGGGUUUAAAGGAAGGGAUGUAUUUUGUGAUUCGAAUAAGAGAGCUCGUGGUUAGAGAGUUUUUAGUUUUUAGUCUCUCGCUUAGAUUAAAAAAAGAAAAAGAGCGGUUGGUGUAAGCAUGAAAUACAUCGUUCGGAGCAUGUGCUAGAAACCUUCGCCUAGUCAAGUGUGUCUGACAAGUACAACCGACAAUAAUUUGAUGGUCCCAUAAUUGCUAGCACACCUCACCUGGAAAUACAAAGACGAAAUCUCCAGAAAAGGAGCCACAUACUCACACCUACUACACAUGCAGUGGCAUCUACUGCGUAUAUUAUUCGGCACCUGCCUGGAGAAGCGCAGCUGCAUUGGCUGACGUGCCCCAUCAUUUAAAUAUUUGUAUAUUUUAAAAAGUUUGAGAACAAAGACAAAAAACUUAUAAAAUGGUUUAGUCUUUUUUCAGUGUUUAAUUAAUAUUCUACUUUGAAUGUUUUCGGUCUUCAACGUUCAAUGGUUUUGAAUAUUCCUGGUCUAAUUUCCGGUGCUAAUGCUGUGAGGUAACCCAAGAACACGGAGGCACCGUUGAUGAUUAAACUAAUGCAACAAAGAGAAAAGACGACUAAACACGCUACUACAACAGGCGCCUGAGCUUUCAAAUUCAAAUAUGGUAAACUGCAGUGUGCUAUUUCUCUGGCAACUUUAUUACAGACCCCGUGACAUAAAAUAUCAACCACUAAUGAGGAAUCAGGAAAGAGAGAAUUAUGCACUGCCACGUGUUUCCUCUCUCUGACGGUCUGAGCUUUUAAUGCAAUAAUAUCAAGGGAUAAUUUCAAAAACCUCCCUUGAGAUUUUUAUUAUUUCACUGAACUCUCUUCACGUUUUGAAAAUUUCACUAACUUCCGUUGAAGUUAAUUAUCUCGUAAUAUUUAGAUUCAUUCAAUAAAUAAAAUGUGAUAUUAGAACAAAGAAAAAUAAUAUUUCAUCAUCACUCCUCAUUUGCUAUACUAUUUAAUUAAUUUAAUAUCAAUCCACACAUUAACAAAAACUAAAAUUUGUUAUUUAUGAUUAGGCAUCAAAUCAUAUAUAACAUCAAAAAAUAUUACUAUAUCAUUCUAUAUAUUUCACUUAUUGUAAGAUUUAAAUUACUCUUUUCAGUUAUAAAUUCACUAUCAAAUAUGAUCAACAGCAAAUAAUCAAAAAAUUUGCAACUAAAAUAUUAUAGAAAAAAAAACUUUAAUAUCAUAAAUAUCCUGAUGUUACAAGAUAAUAAACUUUAGAGGAAGUUAGUGUAAUUUUAAAACUUGAAGGGAGGUUAGUGAAAUAGUUAUAAACCUCUGCAGCUUUGUCCCCCCAACAAAUCAACUACUACGACUAAGAGUUAUUUCCGUUUGACACGACUGGGACCCGGGGCAAUAAACUACUCCCUGUACUUACUAGAGAUGCGACCUUCUAACGUCCAUUCCAUUGCAAACCAGCAGGUGGUUCUAAAGAGCUUUGUAAAUAGCUUUAGAUAGGACAUAACGAAUGAGAGUGGGGCGUAAAUCUAUAUCUAUAUGUAUUCAAGGAAGGUUUUUAGCAGAAACCUCUCAAUGGCUUCUAAAUUUUCAUUCUUUUUUUUAGAUUUUUGUAUUUAUUUUAAUACAUAAAAGUAGUGGGUUAUAACCCACCUUAUCACUAAUUAAAUUUAAAUUUAAAAUAUUCCCACUAUCUCUUAACUCAUCCUACAACCACUCCUACAAAUCCUCUAAUCAUCAUCCCACGUUUCCUCUACAUUUCCUCUACAUUUCCUCUCACGUUUCUCACUCCAAUUAAGAGUUCUCCAAUUUAAGAAUUCCACCCCUAUUAAAACUCCUCCAAACAUAGCAUGCUCCUUCAAUUUCUUGCAUGCUCAUUCGUUUUUUGGUUAACCAAAACAAGAAUCUAUUAUCUCUUUCAUCUUUCUUGUGGUGUCAAUCUUAGUCUUUAUUAUUUUCGAUUAUUUCCAAUACCAUAAUACUAGUGUGAAUGCCCGUACUACGUACGUGCUGGCAUUAUUGAAAAAGUAAAAAUAAAAUGGUGAAUAAAAAAAGUUUAAAAAUUGUACCAACACAAUUAAAAUGUAAUAUCUGUUUAACAAUAGUUUGAAAUAUGAUAGAAUGUGCAUAUCAUUCAAGAACUGUCUUUUUUCGGAAGAUAGAUUCUAAAAAAAUAAUAGAAAUUUAUUUUAGAAAUGAAUGAUAUAUGAACAAAAUGAAUGUAAUUGAAUGUUGUUAAAAUGAAAUACUUACAAAUAUUAUGCAUUCGAUUUGAUAAUACAAAAAUCUAUAACUCACUGCUUUUCCUUCUUGGAAUUUUUUUAGGUUAAAUAUAGUAAGCCCCUUAACUUUACAUUUAGCUGCACUUUACCCCCUCAACUUUACAUUUAGUUACACAUUUGUGAUUUUUUUGAAACGUGAUUGUAAUUUGCAAAGCUCAUUUGUAGGUGGUUAUAGGGUUAGUUUGGGAAUAAAUAUUUCUUAAUUAUAAAAAUGUAACAUUGUAUUAAAAUAGCAUACGAAUGAGCAUUUGUCUUUAAUUAAUGAGUAAAAAGAAUUUAAAGUAUAAAAAAUAAAAUAUAAACUGUUUAUGAAAUAGAUAGUUGGAAUGUUUUAAAUUUUAAAUUUGAUUGGUGAUAGGGUUGGUUAUAAUCCACUACUUUUUAUGUAUUAAAUAAAUACAAAAAUUUAGAUAAAAAUCUAUAACUUACUGCUUGUUCCGUUCUUGAGAUUUUUUUUAGGGUUAAAAUAUAGUAAACCCUUUAACUUUACAUAUAGUUGCACUGUACCCCUCAACUUUACAUGUAGUUGCACAUUUGUGAUUCUUUUGAAACGUAAUUGUAAUUUACAAAGCUCAUUUGUAGGGUGGUUAUAGGGUUAGUUUGAGGAUAAAUAUUUCUUAAUUAUAAAAAUGUAACAUUGUAUUAAAAUAACAUACGAAUGAGCAUUUGUUUUUAAUUAAGGAGUAAAAAGAAUUUAAAGUAUAAAUAAUAAAGUAUAAACUUUAUGAAGUAGAUAGUGUUAAUGUUUUAAAUUUUAAAUUUGAUUGGUGAUAGGUGAUUAUAAUCCACUACUUUUUAUGUAUUAAAAUAAAUACAAAAAUCUAGAAAAAAGAAUGAGAAGUUUAGAAGCCAUUGAGAGGGUUUCUGAUAAAAACCCCUUUCUACUACAUAUAGAUAUAGAUGUCUCUAAUUUUGUUUUCAACCCUUUUACUGAUCGACUUAAUUAACUUAUCGAGUUAAUUCCCCACCCCCUCUCUCAGUUUCUUCUUUGUUUUUUGUUCUCUAUUGAUUUUGUAAAUGUAUUAAUUUUAUUUUCUUUUGUGAGCAGUUAUGGCAGAAAUUAUGUGCAGAGACUUCAAUGGAAAUUAACCUUCUUGUGGAGAAAUGGAAGUAUAUUCUCACCGGCUUAAUUUUUCAGGUUGGUCCAUUCUGCCUCUCUUUUUUGUCAUGUUUUGCUUUUUUUUUUUAAGGUGAUUUGGUCUUUUACUUUCUUCUUUCUCCUUUUAUUUUCUGGACUAGCAGAUGGUUUGAUUGCAUACAUUAUCAAUGCUUUAUUUGUAAUAACCUGGAGAAGUAAUUAACUUAAAUCUUGGAAAGGCUUUAGUGUUAUGCUUUGAUUGAUAAGGUAUUGCUUGCUUAUAUAAUUGCAGAUGGUAUAGGAACCUGAUUGAGGGUUUUACUAUUUUAACAUAAAACCAAUUGCCACCAAAAAAAAAAAUUUGAAGGGCUUAAUACUGUUAUUCAGCCUUUUGAAACGGUAAAAAAAAAAAGGAAAAACUCACAAAGCAUAACUAUCUAUCAUGGCCAAUAGUAUACUGAUCACCAUUCAAAUUUCACAAGUGAACCCCAAUUUUAAAACUCCUCAACCCAAAGCCCAAAAUCGAUGAGCGAAUAAAAUUCUGAAAGCGACCUCAACUUCACUAUUUACAUUUGAAUCGAGCAGAAACUGGAAAACAAAUCUAUUCGAAAAUGGGUUAUCCGCAGAAAAUCGGUAACAUAUACUACUGGCAGCGACACAAACUUAGGAUAUACGUUGUUGUUGUCAAAGUUUCCAUACAAGAAGCUUGCUCUUAAAAAGUAUCUGGUCCUACUCAUAACAUUAAGUGUGUAACAAUACUUUCUGUUAUCCGCAGGAAAAUAUCUCAAAGUCAUAUAUUGAGUUCUUUGCUCAUUGGCAACAGAUAUACUAGCUCUUCCUCCGCUGAUCAUCUGACUAUCAGGAGUCCACAGGAGACCAAGUUCAUCUGGAAAGGUACCUUUGCCUCCGCAAUCCAAACUUAAAAAAACCUGAUCCACGGGCCACAUUAGUCAGAAUCAUAUAGUUUUGGCUUUCGUACUAAAAGUGGAUUGGUGUGAAGAGUGUUCGCACCGUCAAGUAAGAUUAUCAAAUCGAAUGCUUAGUAUUUGUAAAUAUUUCAUUUUAACAACAUUCAAUUACAUUCAUUUGUAGAAAUAUAUCAUUCCCUUUUUUAAUAUAAAUUUUUAUUUUUUUUCAGGAUCUAUCUUCCGAAAAAAGACAGUUAUUCAAUGAUAUACACAUUCUAUAAUAUUUUAAACUAUUGUUAAACAGACAUUACAUUUAAAUUUUGUUGGUACAAUUUUUUCACCUUUAUUUGUUCAUCAUUUUAUUUUUAUUUUUUUUCAAUAAUGUCAGCACCGUGCGUAGCACGGGUAUUCACGCUAAUUUAAUUUUACCGUAAAAUGGACUUGGUGAUACCUCGGAUCCGGAACACACCUGUUGCUGUGGCAGUGGCAAUAUGAUCGGGGUACAAUUAUUCAACACAUCCUUUUUUUUAUUUUUAUUUUUUCUAAAAGUUACUUUUACCCAAGAAGAAUAUGACAGUUUCCAUACGGAUGAAAACGAACCAGUUAUUCGGCCUGACUUAAUUGACUUUUUUCCAAUGUUGAAUAUUUUUGAAAAAUGCGCUGUUGAGGAAAGGAAGAAUUUUGGCCAUCCGCAGCCGUAACGCAAGUGCUCGCUUUUAUUUCUUCUUCGUUUUAUUUUUUCUUCUCCUGCUUGGGUGUAUGCGUGUGUGUUUUCUUCUCCUCCUUGUUUUCGUUCUAGUACUAUUUUCUGGGGCACAUUCCUGAGAUGCUCAAGUCAACAUCACGGAUCAGAAAUCGACAUUUGACGAUUACAUCUAGGGUGGACAGUUCAUAUGCCCCCGGGCCACGUGGGCAGAGCAAUGUACGGAGGCCAACUGUGUUAUGUGGGGACAGCAAAAAGACGUUCGGGUACAGUAGAAUGUCGUGGAUGAAAUAAUGUACCAAUACAUUUUGAUAUUUACAACAAUUGCCCUCUUAAAAAUUUGUUCAUCGGCAAAUGCCCAAUACUUGAAGGUAUCUCGAGAACACUCCAGCAGAGAUGCGGAUCCUAGCGAAAAGAAAGAGUGAUUGCCCAGUACACAUGGGAAAAAGACACAGAAAGGUAGAUGUGAUCGCUGUAACCAAAAAAUGAGUGAAAAUUUCAAUCUAGUUAGUGAAUUUUGUACGUGUCAAACCUAAAUUGAUCAUUUUUUUUAGGGACUGAAAAUACUUCUUUUAGUUUUGAGAGACAAAAUUUUCAUAUUGUUAAUACGUGAGGAACAAUUUAUGCAAUUUUUCCUUAGAUUAAAUGCAUAAAAAAAAUCUGUGUUCUUAAAUGAUAUAAAAAUCCUCAAAAACAAUCCUCAAAUGGAUAGGGUAUUAUUUGAAAUAUUAUUUGGAAUAAUUACUGUAGCAUUUUUGUGAUGUGAUGUAUGUGAGAUAAAAAGGUGAUUAGGAAUAUAAAAAGGUGGGUUGGAAAAUGUGUUUAUGAUGCAAGCAAAAUAUUAUUUGGGAUAAGUUGGUUAUCCAAACAAACUAUUCUCUAGCCUACAGAGCAUCGUUUUGUCAAAUUAAUUACAAAUAAAUAACAAUACACAGAUCGUAUAUAAAGAGAAACAUUAAUGGGAAGAAGAAAAUUUUAAUUUGAGUAUAUAAUAACUUUAUUCUAAACACUAUAACACCAAUUGUUGCAUGACUAGUAGAUAUGAGCUUUAUUGGUUAUGGUUAGGAAUUAUGAUUACAAUAACAAGUAAAGAUGAUUACCAACAGAAAGCACUCAUAUAAUUUUUAAAAUAUUUCUUACCGUUUCUUCUUGUCAUUCUUUCAUACCUUCAUAUAAAAUCAAAUACUUCAACAGUACAAUUUUAAUGUAUUUACAUUUAUGGUAAUCAUAUAAAUAAUUAAUUGAUAAUGAAUUUUGUUCACUGUUGUUUUUGUUUAUUUUUCUCGUGCACGUUCCUGAGAUGCUCUCAAGUCAAAACGCAAAAGCACGGAUUCUCACACUGGAAGGUCAGUGGGAAAUGCAUGCCCUCCCCAGCUGCGUUGCAAGAGUUCCGCCGACACGCCACUCCUGGCCUUUGAAAACGUGCUUCAACAAUGACUUUUCCAGUUUACCAAAUUAUGAAGCCUUCAUACUAAUUAGCUCAAAAUUACAUGGAUAUACGCACACCCGGCCAUUUCCGGUUUACCGAAAAAAGGACACGGCUAUACACUUAUUAUUUACAAAAAGAAAAAUAAAUUACAGCCCACUAGAAUGGUAAAAGUAAAAGAGUCCCCGUCCGUCCCGGGCUUAAUAGUCUUCCUUUAGAUGCUCUCUGAAGCAUUUCUUUAUUUCUAUUUGUUACUAUUUUUUUUUUGACUCGUGGGAAAAGCCAAAUGAGACAACUUCAAGCAUCUCGUCAAGAAUUCCGCCUCCUUUAGUCAGUUUCAGCAUCUUUUUCCUUUCUCGUCGUCUGUCUUUUUUCAGAUAAGACACAACUAGCAGUCAGGACUUAGGAACGUCAGUCUGUGAGACCAUUGGAUACUUAAGUCCGUUCGACAAAUGAGUUUUUUUUUUUUUAAUAUUUAUCUAAAAGAAAAAAAUAGUCAGUGGCGCUGGCCGGCGGCUCUGGUGAUAGUGGGGUGAGGUGGAGGAGGAAGAAGAAAAAUAAAAAAGAAGGGAUUUGCAUGUUUUUGGGUAUUGUAAGGUGUUUAUAACAAAAAUUUUGGAGAGUUUUUUGGAGUUAUUAUAACUUAAAAUUGUUAAAAAACUUGCUUGCUAAACAGGGAUUGAGUUUAACUUUCAAACCCUCUAUUUUAUUUCCUUUGUAAGACUUGAAGCCUUUCCUUGAAUUAAAAAAAAAAAAAAAUCCAUUCACAGGACUAUUACCGUCGUACAUUCUUUUGCCUUAGUCGUUGAGUUGGUCCUAGCCCAAUAACGCGGUAGCCACUUUUAAGGUCCUACGAUCAACCUGCGGAAACUUUGGAGCUCAACGAGCAAUUGGCCCAGUGUUUCAUAUUCGUGAAAAAAUUUGUUUUCUGGGGACUACAAAAACAUGUUUGCAGCUCAUCCGUUGCUUUUGGGUCCAUUGUCCUCUGGACUGUACAAACGGGGGAGCUAAGCAAACGAUUAUUUUAUUUUAUUUUAUAUUGGACUACAAAUAUUAGUUGGCACCUGAAACGUUGCUGGUCCAACCCAGAAAACUUUGCUCCAUGGCCCAUGUGAUAAAUAACUAGGAGGAAUUAAAACAACAUCACGUGAUUAGCGCUUGAGUUUGACUCAAAUUACCCAGUCGAGUGACAAAAGGGACUCUCACCAGUAACAGCGACAAAAGAGGUGCAUAGAAAAUGGUCUCUCUUCGAUUUCCAUUCUCGUUUUCUCAGCCCCCUACCCCGAAGCCACCCAACGCAUCCACCUCCUCUUCUUUCUCCACCAGUGCAACCACAGCAAGCUCCGUAGCCGCAGUCUGUGGUGCGGGAAUCGCCGCCGGUUUAGCUCUCUCCCAAACUCCCGCUAAUCCUCUAUACGGCAACGCCUUCAGUUCCUUGUUAUCCAAUCUGUUGCUCAAAACAAGCCAUUUCUCUCCGAUGUGGGGUUCUCUUUCUCUCUCCGGUAGCUCCGCUUCGGUUGCUGAACCCAAGACGGGAAUGUCAUUCCCCUCAGUUCUCAAAGAUUCCCAGCGACUUCUUGGAAUUGGGUUGAGGAAAAAAGCCGUUUUGGGGUUGAAAAACAUAGACGUUUACGCUUUUGGUAAUUGCAAUUUGAUCUUCCACCUUAUUUUGAUUGAUAAUGUCAGUGCCAUUUUCUCUCUCUUUUUGGCAGUUCGAUUAAUUCGAUAUUGACUCCCCAUAAAAUUCUCGCCUGAUCCCCUACUACUAAAUAAGUACAAAUCUUGACUCCUUCCUAGCUGCUGUACUUUAUGGAAACCAGUCAAUCUUGAUUUGUGUUGGGGGAUAUUUUUCCACUGGCUCUUUUACAUGAUUAAGUGAGUGAAUCUCAAUUAGCGCUGAAAUGACUAACUGUGCUAUCAAGUUGAAUUCAGCUUGAGAAUGAUAAAGCUAAGCUGGAAAUACAAUUUUAGGCUCAUUGCCCAAACUAAACUUGAGCUCAUUUUCUAUCUCGAUUGAGCUCAGUAGCACUCCAAAUUUAAAAUGUGUUUCACACUUAUUUUGCUUCUCUAAAUAAUGUAUCUAAAAUGGAGUGCAUUGUGCGGAAUCUUGGUUUUAGGCUAAUGAAAUGGACUAUACACAAUUUUCGGUUUUCUGAGUUACAUCUCAACUUUUCCUUGGGAUUAACCGGUGUGAUUUCACCAUGGCAUUCUUUAGGGGUAUAUGCCGAUGAUGGUGACAUAAAGAAAGUGCUUACUGAGAAAUAUGGAGCACUGUCCGCAGCUGAAUUGAAAGAAAAGAAGGAAUUGAGGGAGGAUCUCAUGGAAAGUGAUGUAAGCAUGACUAUUAGACUCCAAAUAGUCUAUGGAAGAUUAAGCAUUCAAUCUGUACGUAGUGCUUUCCAAGAAUCUGUUGGGAACAGAUUAAGGAAAUUUGGAGGGCCCAAUAAUAAAGAACUUCUUGAAAGGUAAUCCUAUGGCUUCCGCUGCUAGCUGUAACCACAUUUGAAUUGCGUUUUGUUAUCACCCAUCAAGGUUUGAGAUUUUCAGAUGCUAUUUUGUGGGUGAAUCAAUAUUAUUUUGCAUUGAUCUUAGUGCUGUCUCCUAAAUACAAGCUUAUAUUAUGACCCUGUGAAUCAUGGUUAAAUUUUCAUAGGAGCAUAACUAGCCAAAUUGUGUAUGUUGUUCUUUGGGAUACUGCACGUGAUUAUAUGUUUCAAGUUGGUCAACAUGUUUUUGCUGCUGCUUUAAACCAAUCCCCUGCCAUGAGAAUCUUUAUUUGGUUUCAGAUAUAAGAGCCUGCACUUAGAUUUUCAACAACGAUAUUUCCUGUUUAUGAUACUAUCAUUUUGCUUGUAGAAUUGACUGACUGUGACUAUUCGAAUUUGAUUGGAAGAUAUUCAUUUGUAGUAAUUUUAUCACAAAAUGGAUUUCAAUCGCCUUUUAUGUUAGUAUCAACUGUACAUGAUACAUUUGCAUCUGUAGACAAUGAUAACUUUUAAGUUCGGAGCAGGUUCACAUCCCAGUUCAAAGAUGAAUAUAAGAUACCUCGAGGGUCUAUCAUAGAUCUUUCAAGGGAUCAAGGCUAUGUUCUUCGCACAACAAGUAAGAGAGUUCUUUAUUUCGCUGACUCUACUUGAAAAAAAUUAAUGAACAGGGGAUUUGUUGAGCGUCUCUAUCCUUGUAACUUAUCAACUUAAAACUGCCCUUUCUUUUUUCUUUUGUAACCAUAGUUUUUUCAUGCGUGUGAGAUCUUCAAACCAACGAGUUUUGGGAACUUAAAUGUCGGAGGUGAAGAAGUAUUAUUAUUGUUUCUAUAGAGACGAGAAAGACCUCCUUGUUUGGAGUCAAAAGUAUGUGACAUUCUUGUUUGGAGUCAAUAAAUAUGGUAAUUUAAAGCGCUGUUUAUAUCACUGCAGUUGAUGGACAGGAGGUGGGAAGCAUUCAGAGCAAGCCACUAUGUCGCUCAAUCAUUGAUCUAUAUAUUGGUGAUGAACCUUUUGAUCAGAAAGCUAAAGAAGAUGUUCAAAAGAAUUUGGCUCAUGUUCUGCAGAAGUAGACGUGCACUGAUGAAAAAUCUGUCAAGGUGGAUGAGGGAAGUCUCUACUUGGUUGUUCUUUCUUUCCGUGAAACUGGUUAACAAAUGGGGUGCUCUGUAGAGUUCUUUUUCUUAACUUUAUCCAAGCGCAAUAGAGAAUUGUUGAGAGCCCUUCUCGCGUGCAUCUCUGCUAAUCAGGUGGACUGCUUUUUCUUUCUAGAAUUUCUUGGAUUAUUGGUCGAAAAUUAUUUAGAUUCUUUUUUGAGUCUUAUCAUAUUGAGGUAUACUCAAAUGCCAUCAUAAACUGAAAACAAUCCGACAACAUUUACGUCAAUGUCUGGUAGAGAGGGAACAAAACGACUUCGAACUAAAUUUGUGAAAAUUGAGGGUCAAAUUACAUAUAGAACGCAAGAACCCAACAUACAAACUCGAUCUUUGGCAGCUAUACAUGUAAAAAUCCAGGCGAAAGAAUACAUAAAAGACUUCUAAACAGAUGUAUGGGGUAGACUGCAACGGACUUGGGGAAGGAAGGGAUCGAGAGAUAGAAAUGGAUUUUGACGUCAAACACAGCACCAAGCUAAUCCAAUAUACCUAUUCACAACCCCUUCUCAAACUGUCAGCAACUCCUGGAAAAAUGUCAAAGGAAAAGCUUAUUAUGAGUAUCCAGGGAAUGAAAAUGCAGCAGUAGAAGGAAAAAAUAUACAUCUAUCAUGCAGCAAUUCGGUAACCAUAAAUUGAAUUUUGGAGUAGCUUAUAAGAUGUAUUUGCCAUCCUAGAAGAUUCUCUUCUUUCUUCAUUCUGUUUAGUCUACUUUCAUGGUACGGACAGACAGACACUAAAUCUCACACACUCUCUCCAAAUGAAAACAGCAUAAUAACAGACUUGAAAGAUCACCUUCUCCUUCUGUUUGUAGAGGGAAUCAAUCUUUUUCAUAUAUUCAUCUGUCACUUUCUGCACACAACCAACCAAGGGAAGAAUCAAAGGCAGAAGCAGUUUUGCAAUCCAGAGAACACGACGGGCACCGAUUACACAUGAGAAAAUACGGCACUCAAUAUAAAACAUCAGCUAUGGUUUUGAGAAAAAGAGGACAAGAAAGAAAAACUAGAACGCGCCGAAGAAUAGAUAUCCACGUGUUUCCUGUACAGUUACACUUUCUGAUUGUCCAAAGAAUUAGUGCUUGUAAUUAUUGAGACAGAACACCAAUAUUAAUUAAUUACCUGCAGAUCACUGGACAAGUCUUUCACAUUGUCCUCGGACAGCUUUUUCUCCUGGAAGUAGAGCAGGUGGUAACAACUGAGAAUCCUAAUUUAGUGUGAAGUAAAGUAAUCUAAAGUACAGACCUUCUCAAGUUUUUCAUAGGAUUUGAUGGCAUCUCUUCGUACAUUCCUCAAUGCUACCUUAAGGUAACAAAUAAAGAAAAGUAAAGCUUAGUUUUCCAACAAGAGUAAUCAAAAUGUAAAGAAAUAACAUAUUAUACGAAUUUCUAUAAACAUAGUAUUCAUAGUGAACCUUGCUGGUAUAAAAAAUAAAAAUUAAUCAUUCAGUGAUCUCUUAGGACACGCACAACCACGACAAAUCAAUAAUUAGUCUACCCAUGCAGCCUCAACCAUGCUGUCAAGGUAAUAUUUGAAUCAUCUAAAGACUUUUGAGCAUAUGUACAAAACUACAUGUUCUUUACAGUAAAAAAUCGAUUGACAGCCACAACUAACUCAAACAUUAGAAGGCCAGAGAAGUGUAUCUUCUGAUGCAAAUUGAGUUACAGGCUAAGCACCUCAUUUGAAAUCUCACAUGCUCCAAAAGGGACCAUGAAACGAAUAACAGGUACACAUAAUAGUUGAGCAAUGCCAACCCAUCCAAUAAUGCCUAGAAAUUUACCUUCCCUUCCUCAGCUUGUUUUGCCACAAUUUUUGAUAGUUCCUACGAAGAUAAAGAUGAAAGAGGAGGAAAUGCAAGUUUAGAUAUUGAGGCUAUUCAAAUACAGGGAAUAAUUCAACUUGCCAGAUAUCACUAUUUUCAAUUUGUAGUAAAAGUUUAAGUUUUAGCAUACGACAUUAAUUCCAUGGAGUCCUCCUUUCAACAUAAAAGCAGGUCAUACCUUUCUCCUCUCUGAUGUAAGUUGGGGUAUUGCCAGCCUUAUAACUUCUCCAUCAUUGUUUGGUGUCAUACCAAGGUCAGAGUUGACAAUUGCUUUUUCUAUAGCCUUCAAGCUGAAACAAUAGAAGUCAAAUAGAUUUCAUGGAUUAGAUACAGAUAUCAAGAAACUUACUCAUUAUCUUCACACAACAGAAGCGAGUUUCACUUGAUCUGCUAUUUCAAGUAUGGAUUAAUGAAAGCAUACGCGGAUUUGUCAUAGGGUUUCACCAAAAGUGAACUUGCAUCAGGAGUACUAAUUUGAGCUAUGCUCUUCAAGUUGGUUGGUGCUCCAUAGUACUCCACCUAGUGAGGAGAGGUUGGGAGAAAUGGUAAGUACAUAGAUGUUAAAUGCCAGUAGAAGUAUCCAAUACAAAACCUAACAAUAAAUCUUAAUAGUUUUGAUGACUAACUUUUGAUUCAAAAUGUCAUAAAAAUGGCUCGUUUGCUAUGCUGGUCAAAUUUUUUGCAUUAGGCAAAGAAUAAUAAAUUACGAUCAUAAGUAUAGAUAUAAAGUUUAUCUGCCUUAAUCAUGAAAAUUGAAAAAAAUUCAUGACAGUUCUCUUUUUAACCAAAGAUAUUCAGAAUCAGGGGCAUUAAGCUUUUAGUCCUGCAAUCCAUGGUUUACCUUCAAUAGAUCAACAAAAAUUGCAGAAUGCUGCAAAUAUCCCUGUUUUAGCAUGUCUUCAGACCAUAAUCCUAGCCGAAACAAGUAAAGAAAAAGGGGGAAGGAGAGUGGAAGUGGACUUAACCAAAGAAAACCUGAGAUCAUAAUCCUAGCAAAUAUCCCUGUUCAUUCCUGGGAAAUGGGAUAUAAGGUAGAAUUUCCAAUUUCGAUAUCUGAAAUGCAAAAGCCAUAUUUGCCCAUGAAAAAGUUGAGAAAGCUGUGUUGAUCUGAUGAAACUGAACAUUAAUUUUUGCAUUCUACACAUGCCUUAGGCUCAGCAUGCCUAAUUCUAGCCACAUAAAAUCACAAAUUACAAUUGAAAUUGUCAGAUACUCCCAACUUUGAUGAGCUUUCCAAAUCUUCAAGCCUUUUAAAUCUAAUUUUUAGUGCUUAUGCAGUACCCAAUACAAGAAUACUAGAAUUGCUUUUGAUAUUUAAUCAAUUGUAGAUUUCUGCAUCUAUGCCUGGUAUAGAAUGAAGACAAAAGUAGCUCAUACAUUGGAAUUCAUACCUCAAUUUUGUCCAGCAUUGCCGGGUUUGAUCUACCGGUCCUAAUAGAAUUAAAACUCGAGCGAACUGUGUCAACAGUCUUUUCCAUUCUUUCUUUCUGAAAAUGAAAUCAAAUAUAGAAAGUUGACAAUUUUGUGGGGGAAUUGAGCAUCCUGAAGUCUUGCAUUACGCGCCUUUAGAAGUGGAGCAAAAAUUAAAGUGGUCUAUCCUUUUAUUUUCUGAGGACUUUAGAACUUUCUGCAAAAUUAUUAUGCAAAAAAAAAACCCAAAAAAGGCACUUACAACGUCUUCUUCAAUGAAAGAUUUCUCAGCUUCUAUUUCUUCUAUGGUUGCACACCUCAAAACUCGUCUGGAAAACACUCAAACCAGAGAUAAAAGGAACAAAAAAAGAUUAAAUCCCUAAACAAAGAAAGAAAAGAAAGAAAGCUAUAACUCUCAAAAAUGAAGACAAUCGACAACCCUACAUUGUUGAGAGAUCAAGCAGGCUUGAAAAAAAAAAGACCUACUGUGUAAAAACUAUCCAACCCACAAAAGAAAUAAAUUUCGGGAAUGAAGAUAAGGAAACAAGCGAGGAAAUCCCAAAAAAUUCCACUUGCCUCUUCUGCAAGAGGUGUUUAACAACAGGGGCUUUGCAGCAGAAGCUCUGAGCCUAACCUCAAGCUUGACAUAGUGGGAAGCCGCGCCGCAAGACACAUUUUUCGAACCUGAAAGAUGAGAAUCUGCAACUUCACUUCAACGCAGUAAAUAGUUAAAAUUCUCCAAGCAAUUUCUUGCAAAGAAAUAAAAGGACGAGGGAGGUUUAAAGGUAAACCUUGGGGAGGUUGCAGGGAAAGAAGAAUUUUGGGUUUCUGCUGAUAAAUGGACCCCAUGGGGGUUGAAGGGGAGAAAUUCAUAGCCAUUGCUGUCGAGAAAAGAAUAAUGGGGGUUUUUUUUUAUGAUUUUUGCUGCUUAUCAGAGUGCAGAAGAAAGAAAGACUCCAGUCAAGUGUGCAGAAAUAUGACGUGAAGAUAAGAAGACGGACGAAGCUGCAGCGGAAGAUAGGCGUUCGGGAAACGAGACAAAACGGAUUGAACAAAAGCGCGAGACGAAUGCUACGCUUCUUCGAUAAAAGCUUCGAAUACGAGCGCGUCUUAUGCAAUCAACACUGUAACCCUGUUCGGUCAAAACAGUUUGGUUUCUUUUGGGGUUGGGUUGAGUUGGUUUAAGCCCUCUGGUUCUGGGGGAUUUCGGCAUUUGAAAAAAAAAUAAUAAAGCUCCCAGUCUUUUGAGAAGUUUCUGGUCCAGAAAAUUUUGGGCUCGUGCUGAUCAAGUCCAUCUUAAGUCCAACAAUAGAUAGACGUUCCGAAUUUCUAAGUAACAUCCAUGUGAAUGUGGGUUUGCAAAGAAUUGAGUUUUGGGCUCCGCCCUCGGCCCUUGAUCCACAUCUUUGAGAAGGUUGGAGCUCUCUACCGGCUGCCACUGUUUUACCGAAAAUUUUUAAUUCUUAUCCUCUUGAAUUCCUCCUUAAUUUGUAAAAAGCUUUCGUCUAGUAACCGGAAAAAAAACAUAGCGACGGAUAGAACUUCUUCCUUUCCAGCACCAACAACCAAAAAAAAAAAAAAGAAAAAAAGAAAGGGAUUGGGCUUUAGACAGAUAGUAAUAUCAAUAAUAAUCUAUUAAGCAUAUAAUAUGAACAAGACUUUCAAUUCUGAACUAAAUACUGUACAAUAAUAUGACUCCCUAUUUAUAGACUCUGACUUGAUAAACAAGUCUUAAAUCACAAGAAAUUUUCUAAUAAGAUACUAAUUCCUAAAUAAUAAAACUAACAUAGCUUGAUUCCAAUAGAAUUACUAAAAUCCUAACUUGACUAAAACUUACUAAAUAACAAUAUAGAAAUUUUCUAAUUUUGAGUCUUGAUUUAAUAUGCCAACAGUAAUUCGUAUUGUUGACUGAUGAUCCUUGUAAAAGCACAAGGAACAAAUUAACAUGAUGGUUGUUAUGAUUAAGACAGAAAGAGAUUGAUUAGGUAGGGAUUAAUGGAAUCGUGUUGGACAGGCAUCAAGUGAUCAUCAUGCAUGAUGCGUUGCUGUGAGUGCUCCAAACGCUGUGGGGAUCCCGUAAGAAAAGAAAGUCCAUUGGAGACUGCGAGACGGAGGGUUUUAUAUAUACAUACCAUCACCAACACAGCCCUCUACCCAGAUGUUUUUUUUUUAUUUUUAUUUAUUAUUUUGCAUUAGUGCAUUGAAUUGAACCUUUAGUUAAUUUGCCUUCAACAACCAACGCCAUUAGUAGUUACCCAAACCCAUAUAUAAAAACAAAAUUGAUUGGCUUGGUUUGAAGUUGUCAUAAUAAUAAUAAUCAUGGAUUUUGGGAGAGAAGCAGUCGUGCUUGUCCUCACUGCUAUAACAAUGGCUGUUUUGGGGGCGGCUUCCACUGUUCACACGGUUGGUGAUAUUGGCGGUUGGAACUCAGACCGUGACGUGGAUUAUUACGAUUGGGCUGCUAGCAGGGAAUUUCAUAUUGGCGACAUUAUCCGUACGUAAGCUCAAUUAUCAGUUGAUGGUAAUCAUGUUGGGUUCUAUUUCCGGUUUAUUUUAGAUUGAUGCUGAUGAUAAGUAGCCGUCGAUGCCGUCAGUGAUUGAACAGUUCUUGAUAAAUUGCCUGUGUAGAUUUCAAGUACGAUCCAGGGUUUCAUAAUGUGGUGGAAGUGAGGCGGCGGACUACCACGCAUGCGAUGCAGCAAAUCCCAUAGCCACCUACUCGUCGCCGUCGGGAAUGACUACAUCAAGAUCGAGAGACACGGCCACUACUUCUUCAUCUGCGGCUGCGUUGAUCACUGCGCACUCACUAACCAGAAGGUUGAUAUCAGAGUCCCUAAAGACCUCGACGUGAUUAACUAAGCUCCUCCCUCUGAUUUACACUAAAAUCCUAACUUGACUAAAACUUACUAAAUAACAAUAUAGAAAUUUUCUAAUUUUGAGUCUUGAUUUAAUAUGCCAACAGUAAUUCGUAUUGUUGACUGAUGAUCCUUGUAAAAGCACAAGGAACAAAUUAACAUGAUGGUUGUUAUGAUUAAGACAGAAAGAGAUUGAUUAGGUAGGGAUUAAUGGAAUCGUGUUGGACAGGCAUCAAGUGAUCAUCAUGCAUGAUGCGUUGCUGUGAGUGCUCCAAACGCUGUGGGGAUCCCGUAAGAAAAGAAAGUCCAUUGGAGACUGCGAGACGGAGGGUUUUAUAUAUACAUACCAUCACCAACACAGCCCUCUACCCAGAUGUUUUUUUUUUAUUUUUAUUUAUUAUUUUGCAUUAGUGCAUUGAAUUGAACCUUUAGUUAAUUUGCCUUCAACAACCAACGCCAUUAGUAGUUACCCAAACCCAUAUAUAAAAACAAAAUUGAUUGGCUUGGUUUGAAGUUGUCAUAAUAAUAAUAAUCAUGGAUUUUGGGAGAGAAGCAGUCGUGCUUGUCCUCACUGCUAUAACAAUGGCUGUUUUGGGGGCGGCUUCCACUGUUCACACGGUUGGUGAUAUUGGCGGUUGGAACUCAGACCGUGACGUGGAUUAUUACGAUUGGGCUGCUAGCAGGGAAUUUCAUAUUGGCGACAUUAUCCGUACGUAAGCUCAAUUAUCAGUUGAUGGUAAUCAUGUUGGGUUCUAUUUCCGGUUUAUUUUAGAUUGAUGCUGAUGAUAAGUAGCCGUCGAUGCCGUCAGUGAUUGAACAGUUCUUGAUAAAUUGCCUGUGUAGAUUUCAAGUACGAUCCAGGGUUUCAUAAUGUGGUGGAAGUGAGGCGGGCGGACUACCACGCAUGCGAUGCAGCAAAUCCCAUAGCCACCUACUCGUCGCCGUCGGGGAAUGACUACAUCAAGAUCGAGAGACACGGCCACUACUUCUUCAUCUGCGGCUGCGUUGAUCACUGCGCACUCACUAACCAGAAGGUUGAUAUCAGAGUCCCUAAAGACCUCGACGUGAUUAACUAAGCUCCUCCCUCUGAUUUACACUCCUGCUGCUUAGUUAAUACUACGUACAACAGUUGCCAAUAAACAAAUGGGAUUAGGGCUAGGCUAUUUGAUUAUGAAUCUAUUGUGGUUGAUUUGAUCAUUACACAUCUUAAUCUCUUUCAUUUCCUGCUGUACUUCGAUCAUCUUCGAAUCAGCUGUUCAAUGUGGGCCUUUUUUAAACGCUGGACCUCAUACCCAUUUUCUGGGGUUAGAAUGAUGAUAUUCUUUUGAGAAUAUAUUGACAUUCAUUUUGUACGAAAUAUUUGAAUAAUAAAAAAUGAAUCAAAAUUUAUUGUGAUUAAUCAAAUGGCAAAAAAUUUGCUUAACUUCUUAUGAAAUUUUAUGUAUAAUGUACACAAGUGACGAAAUAUAUAUAUUAUGAACGGCAUGCAGACAUUGGAUAUAUUCCAAAAAAAACAAUUUUUAAAUUAAUUUUAUUAAGGUAUAAUGGAGAGAAACAUUUUGUAAGCUUCAUCUUAUAGCCAAAGACUGUUGUAUAGACUAGUGGCAGUUGUAGUGAAAAACAUUUUGUCUUUUUAGUGAAAAUUAGUAGUAUUACUUUUAUAUAUCACUAUUAAUUACUUCUCUCAUCUUUGCUAUGACCCGAGGCUGAAGCCUAAUUGCUUCUCUGAUCGUGCUGUGCUAAUGGUUAACGAGUGAAACCUUUCCUAAAUGAUUUUGCCAGUCAUAAAUUUCGAUAGAAUUUUUUAACCUGCAUGCAAAAUUCAUGCAAUAACUGUUUUACUGGCUAAAUAUUUAGCCGACCCCUCGGGCUAGGUUCUCAAAAAAAAAUAAAAAAAAGUUACCCGAGUUUGCUAAAAAUCUUAAAAAAUAAUUUGACGCUAGGCAAAAUUUCCUAAUCGAUCGUUUAACCUGAGUUCCUUCCUCCACAAGAAUUUGACGCUAGGCACCAGCUACGUACAUUCGAGGAAACCUGUCGAGAGAUUUCAAAUCUCGAUCGAUCAUGCCCUGAAUGAAUUUAUGGCAAGAGAAUCAUUGAUUUAAAGAUUUGCGGGUAUAUAUGACGGGGAUACACUGAACUGGAAAUCUUCAAUCAAAUCUUUUUUAUUUCCAUUCUUGAGCCGUUUAGCUUUCUCAUAUAUAUGACAGACGACAUCUUAAAUUAAACCUCCUCUAUCGCUAAUACAUCCACACAUACACUCUGCAGUGGUUUAGGUGAUUAGCCAUGGUUUUCGCCAAGAAAACCCUUUUUCUUUCCUUCUUGUUGAUGGUAAGUAGUAGUGUUUGUCAGAAGUCGAAGGCUCAUGUGUACACGGUUGGUGAUGCUGCUGGCUGGACGAAUAUUGGCCGCGUUGACUACAAAACUUGGGCCGCUACAAAGAUUUUCCAUGUUGGGGACAUCAUCUGUAAGCCAUUCGUUUUUAAUCAGUAUUCGUCGUCAUUCCUUGUUCUUGUCGUCGCUGUCUAUUUGGGUGGUAGUUUCAUCAAGUUAAUGGACUUCGGUGUUACUUCAAUAUUGCUGUCCUCUUCCUUAUCUUUUUUCCCUGGUCUUGAGAAUUAAAAUAACAGUAGGGCCAAAUCUCUCAGUAUGAUCUACUGCUAGAUAGAGAGUAUGAGAACUAGCUUGAUUCAGUUAAAGCUGAAGGAUUUUAAUCAACGUUUCUUGAAUACUUCAACAACUAUUUUAGGGUGUCCUCAGAAACAGAAUCCUAUUAAAGAAUCAGAAUACAUUAUAGAAAUCCUACCUGGCCCGUUGCAGAUUGGAGAUCCGAGUUCAGUCGUUCGAAGAUAAUUGCUCCAAGCAAUUGUCAGCGAACAUUGGAUAUUUGUCUGAUCGAUGGUUAAAGAAUAUUCAGAUUUGAUUACCAAACUUCUUCGUGAUAUAGUAUCAAGGUUUUGAUCUUUGUCACAAGAUAUUUCUGCCUUAGGAAUUAAUUAUGACAUGCGAUAAAGCUUUUUUUUUCUUUUUCUUUUUUGUUAAUGAAAAACAAUAAAGCUUUUAGUCUAUAGUCUGUCUGUUGGAAACUUCACUAAAUAGAGAGAUGCAUGGUCGCAGGUGUGCAUCACGAAACGCCAUGUGUGUGGGUAUAUGUGUAUGUAUAGUUUAGGGUUGGAACAAAGUUACAGAUUUAAGCAUUGGAAUAUUCAUUUUUCCCAAGAUCCAAUAGAGAGGAAUUAAUUUUCAAUUGGAUGAAACUGUUGACCCGACUAAAUUCACAUAUUUACCGCUCAUCCAUAGGGUAGCAUACAAUACAAUUCUUUUUGCAUUUACGUGAUUGAUGUAAUGAGCUUUCAAAAGAACGUAAGUUGAAGUUCCAAAUGAUGAUAGAUAGUAGUAUUAAUUAAUUUGUUUUUGUUUUGCAGUGUUUGAAUACAACAAACAGUUUCACAACGUGGUACGAGUGACUCACAAGAAUUUCAACUCAUGUAAUUCCACCGAUGCUUAUGCAACCUGGGUCUCCGGCAAUGAUUCAUUCCUCAUUCAGAGGCCCGGCCACUAUUACUUCAUCUGCAGCCUUACGGGUCACUGUCAAUCUGGACAGAAAGUUGAUAUUAGGGUCCCCGGAGCUGGAGCUCACUCACCCUCUCCCGCCCCGGCACCUAUCCCCACUCCUUCCGUCCCACCCCCGCCCUCAACAUUCCAUCCUCCACCGCCGCCCUCGACAUUGCCGCCUCCGCCACCCUCAGUGUUGCCUUCUCCGCCCUCGACUUCGCCUGGAAGCGCUUCUCCUGCUCCGGCUCCCAGUAGCGCUUCGGCCUUUUAUUCACCCAGGGGGCUGCAGAUGAAGGCUCAUUUCUGGUUGUCUACUCUGGUACUGGCGGCAGUGCUUAAUGGAUUCGUUGGUUAGAAGACAAAUUGCACCUUUAAAAUCCCUCGCUUUUUAUUAGAAUUGGUGUCGUGGUUCUUUAUUCAUCUAGUACAACUUAGUGUGGCAAUUCUCCUAAAGCAUUUCCUCCAACAAAGUUCCGAAGUUUUCCCUUUGCAAUUUAAGCGAGCUCUUAAACAUAUCAUACGUAUCAUGAUUCGAAUGACUAGCGACAAAGAGACGGCUACUUUUUAACUUUUUUGGCUAAUAUAAUCAUAAAAAUAUCGCAGCGCUAUAAUAUGUAAAGAGGAAACUACACGUAUUUAAGAGUUUUUUCUAAAACCAAAAAAUAGUUUUUUUUUCCCCUCCUAUUUUGGUGUUUCUUGGGUUUCUGCAAAUGGAGGCUUUUGCUUGAUGGACUCUUCAGGUCAUGUCCCCUGUUUUCAGGGCUUCAAAACAAUGGGUUGAGUGUUGGCCCAUGAUCUGUUACUCACAGAUGCGUGUGUAGACCGGGUUAAGUUCUAAGGACGAAACAUCAGUCCUCAGCAUCAACACCUUGGGCUUGCGCAAUACACAGCUGGCCCAAAUUUAGAUUGGGGAGGAUCGACCGUACCCCGCCCAUACUCAUGCAUUUGGAAUGCAGAAUUUGUAUGAAUUUAUUAAAUAAUUUAUGUUAAAUCUAAAAUCUAAAUAUAAAAACCCCAAAAUCAUUGUUGUCUAAAGAGAGAAAUAUAAUGAAAUUUGUGCUUGGCAAAGAGCAAGUAGUAAUGUGAGGUAAUUGAUAGAGUUUUUUUUUUUUUUUUUCCUCUUACGAUUACGAACUGGAUGUAUGCUGCAUGAUUUCUAUUAUCAUGUUAAAAGAAAUGGUACUAACAAUAAUGCAAAAUAAUCUUUUAAAAGGCCGGUUGGUUGGUGCUGAUGUUGAAAGUUUGUCAUGGGAUCCACAUGCUGAGCACUCGUUCGUUCGCGGCUGUGCUUCUAUCAAUUCCUGUUUGACUCAAUCCAAAUUGUCUACAUUGAUUGAAGCACAACAACGUCAAGUCACUUCUGGGAAUUGUCCCGCACAUCCCUGUGAGACCGUGUCUUACUUCUCUGUUUUUGUCUUCAUAUUCAGGUCUGUCUUGACAAUGGAAUGGUUUCUGGUUUUGAUAUUCGCGCUUCUAGUUCAAAGCUCUCUUUUGAUCCAAAGGCAAGCUUCGCCCUAUAACAUUAUAUUUGCAGUUAUGGGAGACACGAUCCGAUGCUGCAGUCUCCAAGAAAUAUGGAAAGUACAAGAAGCAGAAUAGAUCAGCCCGAUCGUGAGAGUUAAAGAGGAUUGUGGAUUUGACAUUUAAGGCACAAAAAAGUUGCGGCAGAUAGGUGCUGGCUGAUUACGGCAGCUCUAUUUCAUGAUCCAAUUUGAAUACCAGGAGGAACGAUGAGCAGAAGUCAGCACGCAUGCAGACGGGUAAACAAGAGAUUUUUCUGGAUCGUUCAUCCGACACUUCAAAACCAUAACCGCGCGUUGAGCUGUUAACAAAGCUUGGGCUGUCAUUGGCUUAAAGAUGGGAAACGGUUGGAGGAAAUUUUGAGGCAUCAUUCUGUCUCAUAUUAUGUGUUUUAGAUUUGGAGAAGUCAGGAAUUAAAUGUUGUACUUCUUGUUUCGGAUUCCUUGCAUGUAGAUGAUGGAUGCAAUUUUGAAUGAUGGAUAUGUUACAUUCAUGUAGGGGGAAUAUCAGUUGUGGGUGCGCUAAGAACCCUUUAACUGUCAAAUAACGUAUACUCCUAACAUAUUAUGAAAGUUUCAUGCAGGAAUUGGCAGCUGAGCGCGGAGGAACACAAAAAUGGGUAUGAUUGAAGCAGUGUAAAAUUGUGAUCAUCCGACCUAAUUGGCCUGUUUGCUCGCAUCACAUUUCAUGAAAAAUAUCCCAAGUCGAUCCCUUUUGGUACCAUAACGAUACUUUGAUUGUUUCUGUAGUGUAGUGUUAGCUUGCGUAAAGGGAAGAAUAAGAAAAGGGAAAACUCCUUUGUACUUAGGUCGUGUCUUUGUUGCUUGUGGACGUUCUUCUACCGCUUUGAGAGUUUAGAGCAGAGAUGAAAUAGAUAUGCCGCGGUGCAAGUUAAUUUUCUAAAUUUCUAUGAUAGCCCCCGACUUAUUUCAUACACUUUAUUCGAUUACGAGUUAGGUAAUGUAUGUAUAAUAAGUGUCUAGCAAGAAUAGGCAGAUAAAUUCUCCAUGUGUAUUGAAGUUAUAAUAAUAAAAAAAAAAUCCCGAAAUUGACAUGCAAGCAAAGGUGAGUUCAAAAUUUGAUUUUCUGGUAUAACAUUAGAAUUAAUAUUUCCUAUACUGACAGUGUAUAGCAUUGGAUUAAUGACAACUAUGCAAAAUUUGAAUUUGAAAUUCAAUUUUUUUGUACACAUGUCAUGAAUCCAACGAUGAUACUUAAUUUAGUUUGUUUGGAUAUAUUAUUUGAAAUAUUAUUUGGAAUAAUUACUGUAGUACUUUUUAUGAUGUGAUGUAUGUGAGAUAAAAAGGUAAUUGGAAAUAUAAAAAGGUGGGUUGGGAAAUGUGUUUAUGAUGCCAGCGAAAUAUUAUUUGAGAUAUUUGUGCUAUCCAAACACUCCCAAUAUAUAUACACUGUCAAUGUAUAUAAGAUUUACUCAUAGCAUUAUUGAUUCUUCUUUCUUCUCAAAUCUUUGUUUCUUUUUUUUUCCUUUUUAUGGAGGUAGCCAUUUGAAAUUACACAUCGAAAUACCGGAAUGAAGGAAAUUACUGGCUCGAUUUUUAAGGAUUUUUUUUUGGAAACAUGAUUUUAAAAAAUUAAAACUGUGUUUUCCAACAAAUAAAAUUUUUUUAAUCUCAGAAACAUAUUUACAAAAUUAAAAAAAUGAUGGAAAAAAUUUCGAUCUAAACGGGCUGUGUUCUUGAGGAAUACAUUAGUGCUUUGUUAGUGGUUGACACGCCAUCCGUGAUUGAGCAAACGUAGGAUAAGUCGAGCAUUUGUUUGAGGAACGAUUUUUAUUUUUAUUUUUGGUUUUACAAAAUAAAAAGAUUACUAGGAGGCAGACAGACACAGGCCGACACCCUAGAAACAAAUAAGGAAGCUGGCAAAAAUUAAAAAAGAAGUAAAGUACAAGAAAAAGACAGAGAGUUAUAGACAGUAAUAUUCACGAGAAACCAAGGUUGAAUCCGGCCAAAAAGCCGUGGUCGCCGGAUUCCUAGAAUCCGAUGAGCAACGAGCGCCGUCGCACGUGCACCAAUUGCGCUCUCCAACUUACUUACUUACGGGAAUUGUUAAAAAAUAAUAAUAAAGAAAAAUGAGCACAGAAAAUGAAACAAAGUCAACUGCGAAGAAGUUAAUGCGAUAGAGUAAAUCACAGUACCACAUGAAUUAUGAAAUGUAGGGAGAUUCCAAGUCUAAACACUGAGCAACAACGCAUCCUGAUUUAAAAAAAAAAAAAAAAAAAAAAAAGCACUCUGGUAUACCUCUACCGUUACUUUUUUUUUUUUUUUUAUCGAUACGAUAGAAUUUCUAUAACCUAAACUAGCCUAUUCUAGAGGGGAAGGGGAUGGGACUCGAUGUGAGUAGAAACUCCAUCGAAACUGGUCAAUGAAGACCGUCACAUAUUGUGAUAAAUUUUGUGGGAGGCAAGGUUCGAACCUUUGACCUCCCGCACCACCAAGCCUAAGAAGGCUUGGGAUGACCACUGGACCAAAGCCCAAUGGCACCUCUACCGGUUACAGAAAGGUAAAAGAUAAGAAUAGCAGGACGCAGUAACUCCCCCUCCCGGGUACAAUAACCAACCAUGCAGGUAGCAACGGUCUGUCUAUGAGCCUUUAGGGUCAUGAAACUGGAGUGAGUUUUACUUUAGAAAGUAAUCGGGUGGACAGUAAAAAAAUUUCAGCUGAAUUCAACUACAAUUGAGCCUACUGAAGUUUCUAAUUCUUUUCAAGUUAAAUAGUUACUGCCGGUACAGUUGAGUUUUAUAUCUUUUUUUUUUGUUAGUCUAAUAGCAAAUUCCAGUCCUUACAAAGGAGACGGAGGAAAAGGGUGGAUUUGAAAAUCCUAAUUAGGGAAACUACUAAGGUUGUGUUUGAAUUGCAAUUUUCUGGAGUUUUUGUAGAAAAUAUAUUAUAAUAAUCUGAUAUAUGUAAAGUAAAAAAGUGAUUAAAAAAUGAGUUCACGAAAAAUGUAAAGGAUUUUUUAACAAAAAAUCCCUUUUUCUGCCAACUAAGUAAGAUAUUAGAAACUUGAAUUUUACACUUAAUAUAGGAGUAAAAAUCAUCAAGACUGGGGAUGAUGGAUCAUUCAGAGCAUAAUUUUCAGUUUUCAAUUUUCAUAGCAGCGAGUAAAUAAAAAAAUGCUAUACCAUCCCCUGCUGGAGUAGUCAGCAGCCACACGCACUCGCACCCGCAGAGAAUUUAGUGUGCCUUCCCACCAUUUUUACUUAGUCGAACAAAAAGGAAAUAUGUUUCGCUACGUAAAUAGUAGCAACAUAGCAUGGAGAGCAGACUGGCAGUAGCAGUAGCCAGUAGCACGACAGAAAGGUUCAUGAAAAAAAAACCAAAAAAGUACUUAUGAUAUUAGUUGUAGUCCGGAGACUAUAGCUAGGAGUAGCAAAUAUUAACCGCAGCAUUCCCCGGCCCUUUCCAGUUUCCCCACGCUAUUUACUACUUUCCAGUCUCCAGUCCCAAUCCCAAUAGUUCUUCUCCCUCCUCCUCCUCCGUCCUGAAUUGUCAGGAGAUUUAAAAAAAAAAAAAAAAGGAAAGAAAGAAAAAACCAGACCAGAGUAUGUAAUGCACACUGGACACCAUUAAAUGAAACAUUUCAGGGUCAGUAGCAUUGCGUGAUCUUUCGUUCCUUCACGGAUUUCUCCUUCUCCUUUGCUGUCUCUCUCUCUUUCUGUUUCCCUGCCACAACUCCCCAGUCCGCAUGCACUUCCUCCUCCUCCGCAUGACUCAUCACUCAAAUAUCUAACCCUACUCUACUCUUAGUCUACUACUAUUCUACUUCACUCCCACCCACCACCGCAAACUCCUGCCAGUCUAAGUCUACUCCAUUUUCUCCAACUUUCUCUACGCUACUUGUGAUUAGUAAGUAGUUCAAACUGCGAAGAGAAACGACCAAUGGAAGGAGGGUUGGAGCUGAGUAAAGUGACGCUGGAAAUCUUCUCCAAGCUCGAGCAGCAGUGGUUGCAUCACUGCCAACCCCACAAGAAGACUCGCAUUCUCUGUAUCGAUGGCGGCGGUGUCGGCUCCCCCACCGCCAUCUUCGCCGCUCAUUCCUUGAUCCUUCUUGAAGACCAGAUCCGUGCCAAAUCCGCUGACUCCCAAUCUCGCAUUGCCGAUUUCUUCGAUCUUAUCGCCGGCACUGGCAUUGGAGCUCUCUACGCCGCAAUGCUCGCUGCCGACGACGGUUAUGGACGUCCUUUGUUCACCGCCAGGGACGCCGUCAACUUCGUCGCCCAAAACCAGUCCCGCCUCUUCAAAGUCAAGGCCACCCUCGGAGUCUUCCGCCGCCGACAGAGGUUCUCUGGCAGGAGCAUGGAUAUGGUGUUGAAGGAGGCGUUCCGGAGGGAGGACGGCAAGGUCCUGACCUUGAAGGACACGUGCAAGCCUCUCCUGGUUCCCUGUUUUGACCUGAACAGCUCCGCGCCAUUCGUUUUCUCUCGCGCCGGCGCUUCCGAGUCCCCCAGUUACGACUUCGAGUUGUGGAAGGUCUGUCGUGCCACGUCAGCCACCCCCUCCCUCUUCAAGCCUUUCCAUCUGCAAUCAGUCGACGGCAAAACCUCUUGCUUGGCGGUGGACGGCGGUCUCGUCAUGAACAAUCCCGCGGCCGCCGCCGUCACUCACGUCCUGCAUAACAAACGUGAUUUCCCCUCCGUCACCGGCGUCGAUGACCUGCUGGUGCUUUCCCUGGGCAAUGGUCCGUCAAGCUUGAAACUCCGCGCUAACGGUGAUUGCUCAACGUCAUCAGUCGUCAGCAUUGUUCUUGAUGGCGUCUCCGAAACGGUAGACCAAAUGCUUGGAAACGCCUUCUGCUGGAACCGUAACGAUUACGUCAGAAUCCAGGUACGGUUUCCACUAAUUAUCUUAACAUGUUAAUUAUACAUCACUAAAACCCCCCCUUCCCCCCUUUCUUUCUCCACAAAAAAACAAAAAAAAAAAAACCAGAAAACCGAAUGUGGUCGGGGAGUUAACUAGUCAGUUAUUGACAGUUAGUAAAAUUUGCAGGCGAACGGUUGCGUGAGUGGAGGAGUGGGGGAGAAAGAGGAGGAUGUGAUGGAAGAGAGAGGCGUGGAAUCAUUACCGUUUGGCGGGAAACGGUUGCUGACGGAGACUAACGGACAGAGGAUAGCGGGGUUUGUUCAACGGCUUGUUGCAUCGGGGAGGACUAGCCUGCCGCCGAGUCCGUGCAAGGAAACUGCCGUUAGUCCUCUGGCUAACGGCCGUUAGAUUUAUUUAUUUAUUUUUGCCCUUUUGGUGCUUUAAACUUUUUGGGGUUAAAGUAGAAUAUCUUGUUUUGGUGUAGCUUUUUGAUUGGACUAGCAGCAGUAACAUAAUUAACUCUUCUAGUUUUGUUUCCUUGUCAACUUUACAUGAACUGGCUGUUUUAUGGAGAUUAACGCCUCUAGGAAAUGCAAUUAACAAGUUCCGAGUAUUUAGCUAUUGCUAUUGUUUGGACGUAUUAGUAGUAGUGGUGCUGUAGUUAGUAGCUAAAUAAAAAAGUCCAGCAAUUCUCUCGGUUGCCCUUAGCCUUUUGUAUACUCCAAUCCAUAUGGUGGUAAAAACCCAUUCCUUCGCUGCAGAUUUGAUCCUUGCUGAAUUGGGAGUGGUACGCAUUCUUACGAUGUCAUAUCACUCCCUUCUCGUAACAAAUCGAACAGACAAUGAGUAUUGUUAAAAUUUUUUAGUAUUGUCAAGUGAUGGGUGAGAAGAAGUGCUUGUAUCCUUAAACUUUGACUUUUCUUUAUUCGGGAGUAUUAUUGGGCUUUUUUUAUGCAUAUGCGAGAAAAUAAAAAAAAUUUGCGAGGAGUUGCUGAGAAUGAAAUAAUGUAGGGCUGAUAUUGGCACAUCCAAACUUUUCAAUGGCAUCCCCUGUGCCUCUUCUUUUUGAUCUUAUCAGAAGACAAAUCUGUCAUGAUAUCUCAUUCCAAUCUACAUUACACCAGACCAUGGGCAUGGUUACCUAUUGAUUGCAGUUGUAAAGUAUGGUACUUGUAUCAUUUGACAUGAUUUAGAAAAUGUCUAAGAAAGCGCCGCAUUGGGAGUGCCAAAAGAAUUCUGUACACUUAUUUAAGAAUCAUGAGCUGUGAAGAUGAGGCGGAGGAUAAAUCGCACUGGCUACUGUUUUUUUUUUUUUUUUGGCAUUGAUUUCUGGUGUCGUCGCGUUACACUUGCUCAAAAGGCAGAGAAAUGUACCAGUCACCAUAAUUCUUCACGAAAUGGAUAAGGGCCGGAGGGAAAAAGGUCGGUGCAAAAAGUACCAUUGCUGUAGUCCUGAAUGGGGGAGCUCCACGUAACACCUUCCCCGGCAAACCUCCUUAACAGCAUUGACGUGCACUGGCACGAAUUAGGAAACUUAAAAUAGCGCUGAGAUAAUACGCUGCAGCCUAAUUAUAUAUAUCCAAUUGUAAUCAACAGUUUUUUUUUUUUGUUUGCAAUUACGUUAUUUCAGUUUUUGCUGUGGCCAAUUGUACGGCAUUCCUUGUUUGUGAAUUUGAAUUUGCUUCCAGCCUUCACCUGCCUUUGGUAGGUAAGUUCGGUGGGGUGAGGGGAACCGGUACCACUUGGUACUUGGCUGCUUUGCAGCUGGUGUUGCCACGAGCCUCACUGACCCUACCCCUACCCUCUCCAUCAACAAAAAACAGUCAAUUCUUUUCCCUCUUUCCUCUCAUUUAUGCUCCCAGCUGAUUAAUUUGCACAAUAUGAUUCUAGAGAGAGAGAGAGAGAGAGACAAGUAAUUUGUUGUGCGUUCGGUGGAAAGAAUAUGGGAUUUUUUUUUUUUUUAUCCGAUGCUAAGUAGACGUUUCACAACGCUGAGUAAGACAAGAAUUACGGUUAAGACAAAAUGUUUGGCGAGAGGGGUAAGUUUGGAACUAGCUAGCUUAGCUCAGCCAACCUGGCUGAUGUGGACUCGCCGGCUAGGAUUAUUAACCAAGUAGCUCGCCAUUGUUAUCGUAGCAUUAAUUACUGGCCCUCCGCGGAAUUUGUGCAGUGGGGACCUUCAGCUCCACAUAUAGAAAAUUUUGGAAUUUCAUUUACUACCAGUAAUUUUGUUUUGGAUUUUAGGGUAGUGAUCAGAAUUGAUAGCGCAAUUAAUGCUGCAAUGCAUUAAACAACAUGCUUUUGCCAUUUCCAAGCUGACCUAUAUUGCUCAAUAUAUAUGACCGCCUUAAUUGCCGGGCAAAAAUCACAAGCAAAACUCCCGUAGAAGCUAACAAAAUUGUCUUUCACGUUGAGCAUUGUGCAGUUACGUGACAUAUAACCACGACACUGAAGCCCGUUUGCAUCGCUAUAUUCUGACAUUUUUUACACCCCCUCUUUGGAGGUCAAUUGUGUAUUUGUCCACCUCGACACCGUCUUAGGGAAUGAUCCGUGGUAGUGCUUGGAGGGGGCCUCCCCAGGAUUCGAUCCCUGGUCCCUUGUAUAAGGGGUCUUGGGGAUGGCACCUGGUACCACUUGAGCUAUCUAAGACGGUCUUAGGGAAUGAUCCGUGGUAGUGCUUGGAGGGGGCCUCCCCAGGAUUCGAUCCCUGGUCCCUUGUAUAAGGGGUCUUGGGGAUGGCACCUGGUACCACUUGAGCUAUCUAAGACGGUGCCGAGGUGGACAAAUACACAAUUGGCCUCCACACCCUCAUCCCCCCCAACAAAAAAAAGAGUAAUGUACCUAACGAAUCAAGUCGCUUGCAAGUGUUCAUGAUUCAACUCGGUCAAAACUUCAAUUCAGUUCGAGCCAAUUAAGUUGAGAUUGAACUCAAACUCAAGCACAAAGAAAUUGAGCUCGUUAGCCUUGCAAAUCAUUCGAUUUUAUGUAUGCGUGUGUGUAUAUAUUAUUUUAAUAGUAAAAUUAUAUAUAUAUUCUUAAUAUUUUAUUUUUUUAAAAAAAUUAUUAUUUUAUUUAUUUUUAAAAGAUAAAAUAAUUAUUUUUUAUUCUUUUAAACUUUAGUAGACUAAAACUCGAGUUGGAACUCCACUUAACUUGAAUUUGAGAUCGAACUCGAGUUUUAACGUUAUAUUGACAGUUCGUCGAAAUUGAUAAAAUUAAGUCGAGACUCGACUCAACUCGAUUAGAUAAAAAUUUAAUUCGAUUUGACUCGUUUACAACUCUAGCUGUAGUGAUUUGUUGUAUAUAAAGUAAAAAGAUAAUUAGAAAAUAUAUUUACGAAAGAUGUAAACAAUUUUUGAAAAAUAAAAUUACGAUCCAAACAAGGUUUAAUUUCUUCAGUUGCCAAUACGAUCGUUGGCAUGCGAACACACAACACCGAGUAAUUCACUGUAAACGUUUUAGAUGAGACCAUAGACUAGAAAACCAUUUGAUUUCACCCGCAUGCAUAUUCAUUGCCGCUUUAGAUGGAUGAUGUCGGGAACUAUAUAAGGUACUGGAGUUUUUUCCUAUGUUUUCUUGUAGCUUAUCACCUACAGAAAUUCUACCCGUCGUCGCCAGACUAGUGUUUACUCUUAUGCGAUUGCAUACACUCUGGAAGUUCUCUGCUGACUACUUAUUAUUUCUAAAGAUCAGCACGAACAACUGCACCACGUUUUUGUUCUUCUAUUUUUUUGAGAUCGCACCUGAUCAUGUACUAUCUCUGUUUUUAAUUCUAUUCAGUCACCAAUGUGGAACCCAAUAAUUUAGAUGUUCUGAGUUCCAAUCUAUAUAUAUAUUUUCACAUUUUCCUCCGAAACUUGAAGAUUAUGGCAAAGGGGGAAAAAAUAUCGAGUCAAAUCACAAAAUGCAUGAUUUCUGCCACUUGCUUGGAAGGAUGUUCUCGUCAUUUACUAAUACUAAUAAAAGAAUCGCAAUUUGAAGUGAAAAUUUCACAAAAGAGACGGAUUAAAUUUCGCACAAGAAGAGAAGGUUAAAAAUGAGAGCUUAUCAGCUAAUGUUUGGCCAUAAUUCAACAGACGGAUUAGCUAGGCUAGCUAGACUAGCUGUUUUAGGUGAUUUUAUUUUUUUAUUUUUGGUCAGAAUCUAUAUUUUUUUUUAUGACAACAAUAACAUUUGUAUAACAUAAUCCACAGGGGAGGAGAACUUAAAGAGGCUGAGGUUAAAAUCUGAUUGACUUGCUCUAAUUUGCAACUUUCUUGGCCUGUUGUACAGGGUGAUUGGAUUGGAACUUGGAAGAUUUUUUUUUUUAAAAAAAAAACAACACCUGAACCCGACAAGAUCUAUAGAUAUGGAACUUGGUCAGUACAUCUGGGGUUUUAUAUAAUUAUAAUCGGGCUACCCAACGUUUAGUGUAGCGCAAAUUAAAAUAAACCAGUACUGACCCUCAAAAAGAAGGAAAAAAAAAAAAAAAAAAAAGUAAACUAGUCCUGUUUAAAAAGAAGCCCUCUUGGAGUUAGCCAGAAUUGUGUCUGUUUCAUUUAUGGGCUUACAGAAUCUACAUAGAAAAAAUCAAUCAUCAUACAGUCACACUCUGCGCCGGUGUCCAUAUUAUGUCUCAGCCAGAUUUUGGCAGGAACCCAUCAAUAAUUUGUUGAAUUGCUGGGGAUUUUCUCUCUUUCAUAACAACACAUUUGGAGGACUGCAGGCUACAUCGACCUCCGACCAGAGGAGAGAAAAGGAAAGAAUACGCGUCAGACGAUGCAGCAGCUUAGGUUAUGGUCCUCAAUCAGUUGGAAUGUUUGUAUACGUUGAUGGAUUAGUAGAACUAAUGGAGUGACUUCAGUUGUUGUCUUGGGAAGGAUCUUUGGUAUUUUCAAGUAGUUAAAUCUUUCUCUGCUUGACCAGACUGAAUGAAACAACCAUGCAUCUGCAUUUUACUGCUUGGGAAUUCAGCACGUGAAACCGAAUAGACAUGGAGAUUAUAUCCUGUUUCCAAAAAAAAAAAAAAAAAAAUCCUAACAACUAAGACGUUGUUUGAAAAUUUUCAUCGACACAUCUUUUAAUCAACAUUUUAUCUUACAUAAAUCGCAUUCUUAUAAUAUAUUUUUGUAUAAAAACUUCAAAAGUUUACGAUCCAAACAAGUCCUAAAGAUGGUAUUAAAUGUGGGAUUGCAUCUAUGAGUAAAGAUUGUAAAGGGAAAGCUUUGAUUAGGUUCUUAUUUCAAGUUAAUAGGCUUUUUUCCCCUUUCCGUGAUGGCCUCUUAUCAUUACUUAUUUUUAGGUGGUCUUAUCCUUCUUUUACGAAGGCCUCAGGAACCCUCUUACGGUAAAACGACACUUUUUCAACCCCUACCUGCAAUACUGGCUCGAUAUGUUUGGUGAUUAGUACUACACAAAAGAAUAAAGCAAUUGACUGUGGUCUGAAACUUCCCCACGAUGUUGACUCUAAAUUCUAGUACAAGGUAGGUUUAGAAGAGAGCAAUUGAACAAUCGGGUCUUGAUCCAGUGGCCAGAGAGAGAUACUCUUUAAAACUCUCCCAUACAUUGGAUUAGAGGUUCAAGUUCCGCCCAGUGCAUCACAAGAAAUCACGGUGCUUCCUUGUUCUUAAAGAAAAAAAGAAUGCAGAGAGUGCAAUAGGAAUCUCCAACAGUUGUGUAAGUUAGUGUAAAAGUAGAAUAAAUAGUUGCUGUCGUCCCAAAAAACAGAAAAAGCAAAAGAAGAUGAAGAGAGUGAUAGGCUCUUUCUACUGCUGUGGCAUGCUAAUUUCGUUUCCAGAUCAUAAUCGCAUUAGCAAGAAGGAAAUGAAAGUAAUUACGUAAUAAUGGAGUAAAUGAAAUGUGACUUCAAGACUACUGGCUAGUGGGAAGUCAUAUUGGUCGAGCAGUGACCAGAUACAUAAUCGAAAGUCCAUUGCCGUGAAGCUUUACUCAAGUAACAGCUAAUCCAAAAUUGAAGCGUAUUCAUUAAGGUGGGUAAAGCAAAAGAAGACAAGAACCAAUUUGAUUUAGACUCGAGUGAUUCUCCCAGGAAUCGACCCACUCCCACCAAACCAAUUCGCAUUUCACAACUUUUUUAGCCUUUAAUCCAAUAACAAGCGAACAACAACGGCGGCAAUGGCAUAUAAAAAUCCUUUUCGCUUUAGCCAUACUCGAAUCAUCAUGACUGACGACCGUGAACUAUGUUAUACACAAAUUAAUCCCCCUUAUUUUGUAUUAUUAGAACAUACACAUUCUCACACGAAAAGCAUGUCUGAAACAUUGGUUACCUAAUAAUUGAUCAGCUUUCAGCAGGCAAAAGCGUAACGUAUGAUAUUGAGACUUGCUAAGCUUACCAAACAGAGGAGUACAUACAACAGCAGUUUUGCAGUGAUGUGUACUCUUCUUUUGAUAAUCCGAAGAACAAUAAUUUGGUUUGUUUGGAUUGUGUUUUAUUUCCCCAAUUUUAUCUGCUUACAUCAUCGUUACAAUUUCUAAUACACCUUUUUAUCUUCCCAAUUACCUUUUUAUCUCACACACAUCACAUCACAAAAAGUGCUACAGUAAAAAUAUUCCAAAUAAAACACAAUCCAAACAAAUAUACAAUUGCACGGAGAUCCGGUUCCUUAUCACGACUCGAGCCAAAAACUAUUAUAGAUCUUGGAAGAAUUUGUUGCAAAUAAAGGAGUAUUUCAAAAGAUCUUGUCCCACGUUGAAAAAUCAAAGAGACUUCUCGUCAUUUUAUAAUGCUUAGUUUUUAUUUGGAUUUGUAUUAAAUUGGCAACUAGUGUGGAACCUUUCUGGCAACUCUCUUCUUCUUCUUCCACUCUCUGUUGGAUUUACGCAACAUUUGCUAGUUCUGAUCCUUUCUGUUUAUAACAAGAAGAAGGUUUGUUUAAUGCUAGAGAAACAUUUCAACCUCCUGAAAUAGUUUUAUAGGACAGUGCUAUUAAACACGACACAAGUUUCAUUUUAUUAGCUUUAGUUAACAUUGUUUUGGCUACUUCUCCUACAGAAGUUACCAAAGUAAAAGAAACAACAAAUGUAACUGUGGUCUAAGCUGCUCUUCUUGGCCUGCACUUUUAUUUGUUCUUGGUCCACCAGAAUACAAUUAAAACUUUCUAAGCUACUAUUGCAUUUGAUCAUCGUAUUAAUUUGAAGUUGUAGGGGUGAUCUGCUCACUGUCAUUUGUCAAGCAUAUACCCAAGCUACAGCCUGCAAACAAAGCAAAUGUCGAUCUAUAUUCAGCAACUCCGAGCCUUUAAUCGCAUAAUGGUAUGUGUCAACAACUGUAGUACAAGGGUACAGAUUUGCCGCCUGAAUACAUGCCCUUAUAGUAAACUGUAGUAAAAGCUUUACGUUAUUAUUGUCUCCUAGCAUUUAGAAGUAGUCGCUUUUUUGUUCAGCUGUAUUGGACAACGGAUUCUUUUCUUUCUUGGGCACGAACAAUUUAUUAUUCUUGUCAUUGAUUUAGUCGAUUUACUGGCUUUGACAAGAUUGAUGGACCGCAUCGUAGAGUAUUGUGGGCAUAAGAAAAUAGAUGAACACGGCACCGAAGUGAAAAUCAUGGUAACGAACUAAUACAUAUUCUGCAGGCGAUAGCAAAUUUUUAGCUUCAAACUUGUUUUUGUUUUAUUUUAUUUUUGGGGUGCGUCUAAACUACCAGAAAAUCUACUGAAUGAUUUCCCUUCACUUUUCUUUUUUUUUUUUUGUACGAAAUCUGAAUCCAAAUGGGAUGAUUUUGACGAGGGAAGCAACUUCAUAUGUUAUUAUUUUUUAUUUUUUUGAGUUAAUUACACUAAACCCUCCUGAACUUUAUCUUUGGUUGUGUUUUGUCCCUUUAAACUCAUUAAAUAAUUAAUUUGCCCCCUAUUUGACAUCUUAAGACAAAAGUGUCCUACUAGAAAAUUCUGUUUUAUGUCCCGUGUUCAUCUUAUAAACUGAUAUCAGUAAAUUCAUUUCCACUACUAGAAAAUUCAAGACAAACUAUAUAGCUUAAAAACUGAUAUAUAUCUAUUGUAAUCGAAAAAAGUGUAUAUUACUAGCAAUUUAACUAUUCAAAAAUAUAUUAGCAAACUAGAACUUUUAAUUGCUUAAUUUUUAAAAGUAUAUCCAAACAAUUAAGAAAUUAAUAUUUUUUAUUUACUUUUUUAUGUAUAGUUGAUUAAACACUAUGUUAUUACGAUAUGAAUUUGUUACUGUCGUUACUAUAAAUUAAUUUAUUCAAUAAUCUAGGCAUACUGAUUUAAAUAAUAUAUAAAGUAGUCUAUGUGCAUAGAUAAUACACAUUUUGUUAUACAUAGAUUUUAUGAUAAUUAUUACUUUCAAUAAAAAAAAAGUACAAUAGAUAGAAAUAACUAAAGAAUAAGUUUAAUAAGAUUAAAAUUAAUAUAUAAAUAAUAAUAGCAAAGAGAAGAAAUGUAAUUGAUCACGCGAGAGAAUGGAGAAAAAAAAAUGGAUGAGUAAAAAAAAAAAAAAAAGACUGGUUAUGGAUGCAUAGAGUAGGUGUAAUACCCUUUAUUACGCCUAACCAUUACACCCUCUCCCAUAGUGGGGGUAUAGUGGGAGUUUUAAUAAUUACGAUGCAUAUCAUGACCCUUAUAUGUAUAAUAGACUGGCUGUAUGAUCUCAUUUGACAAUUUUAAAACUUGAAAUGAGUUCAUGGGAUAUGUAUUGUAAAUUAUUAAAAUAAAUAUGUAAUUUGAUCGUGAGUUCAUAUUAUUAUACUCUAUAGCGUAUAAUAUAUAGUGAGAGCAAUGGUGCAAUGAAAUAUAAUAAAGUGAUGAUGUGGCACAUGAAUUGCGUUCUAUUAAAUAUAUUUUAUUGUGGAUGCUGUAAACGGUACUUACAAUAAUGUCAGGCACAGUCAAUUCCUAGGGAAAUUCCAUAAUUAAAUUAGUUCAUAGCACGCGUUUAUUAUCUCUAUCCAAAUCGAAACACAAUCCAAACACUUAAUGCUUUGAGAAUUAAAUACCCGCUCUUUAAUAACGUCAUGAUAUCACAGCUCACAAUUAAGCAAGCACUAGAGAAAAUCCCAUCAAUUGCUUGUAACAUGUUAUUGAUUGCAGUGGCCGUUCAAGACACAUUAGUGCCGUUUAAUUGAGGCCUGAUACGAAACCAAUUAAAGACGACCAUGCAUGAAUUUAGUAGAACCAAAAUAGCGAGGCAGAGCCAAUUAAGCCCACCAAGCUUGCAUGAUCCAGUGGCUGUUUAAGACAAAAUGGCCUUCUUGUUUCCCCCCUUAAAAUUUAUUUUUCCCAGGAUUUUUCAUGCAUCUGAUCAUAGCUUCCCCCUUCAUGCUAUAAUUUACCCGGAAUUGAAGUUGAGAGGCUGAUCAGCACGUGGGGACUCAAAAAAAAUUCCUGAUUUCUGAGUACAUUAGGAACCAAGUAUCUCAGGAAGACAAGCAAAGGAAUGCUAGUAGCACUUGAGUAACUCAUAUAAGUGGGUGCUUUCGAGAAACAAGUUUGGACGAAACCGCUCAAGGCAAGUUUUUUUUUCUGAAGCUGCGUUGUAUUUCAGUUCAUUGGGGAAAUAGGAGGGAUAUCUUGAGAUUGCUGAAAGGAAGCAAGAACUUGAGAAGUUUUGCUGAAACUCAUGUGGCUCGAAAUUGUGCACAUGCAUUAGAGGGGGUGAUAUUUCGAGGUUGCUUCUUCUAAAACGCAUGGCACGCAUACUGCAGCAGAAACGGCGGACCAAGAUUUCACGGUGACGCGUCUGAUCAGUAAUCAGCAAUAUUUUUUAUGCAUGGUACUCCUAUUUUAACUUACUCAUAUUAUGGAUUAAAGAAAUCAGAAGGGUAGGGUCCGUAGACAAAAGUCAUCGCGUGGUCAUUCAUUAACUAGAUUGGAAAUGAUCCGUGCGUAUCUACGAUCUGAUCAUCUGGAGCUCGUAUACAUGAAUCAUGAGUCGACACACGAGACCUCCAAAACCGUCCCGAUCAUCAACAGCCGGCAUUUGUCUUUAUACACGGCACGACGAUGGGACUUAGGUCCCGUCUGAUAAAACUGAAUCUGAAUUCUAAAUAUUGAAACAAUUAAUUUGCUGAAUUUUAAAUACUGAAAAAAAUUUAUGAAUGUCUGAAUUUUAAUGUUAAACCUAUUUAUACUGUUUGAUAAACAUUUAUAACUAAAUACUUAAUAAGUUAAAUUUGACAAUUUUACCCUUAUAUCUUUUCAUCCAAAAAAGAAAUAGAACCUAUGAUUUAAUUAGUUAAAAAUGUUAGGUAUGAAAAUGACAAUAUUUAUGUUUAAAUCAAAUUAAUAUAAAAGAUGAAUUAUAUUAUAUGAGGAGUAUGGAAAAUAAGUGAAAGUCAUUCAGAAGGGAGCAAAGAGAAAUAGAAAAUCAUUAGAUAAAGAAUAUUAGGUUGUUUAAUUAUAUAAGAAUUUUGAACAUAAUUAAUAAACAAGGGUAGAUUUGGCAGAUAAGAUAAGGUAGUUGAAGUAAUUAUAUUGAUUGUUAUCAGAAUUAAGCAUUCAGUUAGGAUUCUUAUGCUGAAAAAAAUAUACACAAGUUCAACACUACUUAACAAGUUCAGCAAAUGGAUUUUCAUUUAUCAAACACUCAAAACAUCUGAAUGUCUGAAAAAUUUCAGAUUCAGCACUUUUUUAUGUUAUCAAACAGACCCUUAGUCAGAUGCAAGAAGAAUUAUUACAUUUUUUAUUGAUGCAAUGGCAAUUAGUAUUAGAAUUGUUACUACUAAGUGUCCUCUUCUUCUUCUUCUUUAAUCAAAAGCGUGCAUGCCCAAUGAUCAAUUGUUUUAAGCGACGAGCCCGAGCAUGAAACUUGGUGGGAACGGACAAAUGCAGCUGGAUGAUGAAUGCCAGUUAGACGGAUGAGUUGGAACAGUCGAUGAGGUAAAAAACAGUGGGAUGAGAUUCCGGUUGUCCCUUGACAAGUCCAACUGUCAAAGGAGUAAGGAGGAGAGGAGACUUAAAAAUACCACAGUUGUGUUGAGCAGAUAGGGCAUAAAUAAAUUAAACAGGCAGCAAAUUGCGCUGGGCGUGGACUGUGAUUGAUUCUUGAGUCCACGUGAAUGAGGCAACCACGAAAGCUGCUUCUUGGAUUCGCUUGUGUUCAAAACUCACAAAAUUAGGUGGGGCGGGUAGUUAUUUGCAAAAUUAACCGGAAUACUGGCUCCAUUUGGUUAUCAUAAUUUGUUAAAAUGAUUUUAAAUAUUAUUAUACUUGGCCGAGUUUUUUUUUUUGCCCUUCUGUCCUCCUUUCUUUCUUUUAAAUGCUAAGGAAAGAUAACUGUUUUGUUUUUCCUUUUUGCCCUCCUCAUUAGAUACUACAACAUCCAUGUCUUGCUUAACCAAAAAAAAAAAGUGUCCACGUUUGAUGCUAAAUUGAAAACCGAGUCCCCACACCCCCCGUUAACCGUUAAGCAACGUAGCUGUUUUUCUUGUCCCUUUAUUCCCUCCGUAUUCUUGAGGAAUUAAAUUUGUGGGUUUCUGUUUUGCUUUGAGGCCCAAUUCUACGACGCAGGUGGUGUAAAGUAAUCUUGAACCCUCAAGCCCCAACUGCCUGGGUAAUAUCUAAACCCAUGACUUUCUUCCCGGUCGUGGCCUGUAACGGAUGACGCGGUCGGUUGCAGCUCGUAGGUUCUCGAACAAGAAUAUAUUGGUUAUGUGCAUUUAGGCCCAAAUGAUCCGUGGGGGAUGUAGCUUGCAUCCAGAUCCCCUGGAUUUGAAAACAAUCCCGGUUUAUUACGCAACAUAAAAAGCUGCAGUCAGGCCCAAUUUCAAGAUUCCCUUUUUCACUGGCGGAAGAGACACACGAGUAGAUGUAACAAUUCUCGAUAUGACCUGAAAGGACAACGUGAGUCAAGUACGAAAUUAAUGGGUUUGAAUUGAGUCUUUACGGGUUCGAAUCAAAAUUGGGUCGAAUCAAAUAAGCCUGAAAAGAAAACAGGUUGAAUUCAGAUUACCCACUGGUUGACCUGAUAACCCGUUUAUGAAUUAAAAAAUAGUCAAUAAAUAUAAAAAUAUUUCAUCUAAGGCUCCGUUUGGAUUAGCUUUUUUGGGGGUGUUUUUGAAAAAUUUUGUUGUAGCAGAGUUUUUAGAUUAUAUUUUGGGAUAUUUAAGAGUUGAAGAGUUUCUAAAAUAUAUUUUGAGAUAUUUUUUAAAAUUUUAAAAAAAUUUAAACUAAUUUUUAGAUUACCUUUUAGAGUAGUUUUUAAAAAUUUUUAUUGUCUUUGAAAAACUAGUUUUUGAAAAAUAGUCCCGUCCAAUUCUUUUUUUUCCAAAGGCAUUAAUCAAUUAAUUCUAAAUGAAUUUGUUUAACUUGAGUGAAGUCGAAAUUAUUAUAUUUGAACAAAUAAUAUAUUACAUUAUUUUCUACUUUUAUAGUGUCUUAAUUUAUUUUAGAUCUGAUUUGAGAUAAAACACUUUUACAAAUGUUUUAAUUUAUUUUAGAUUUGGUUUAGGAUUGUUUUAUCAAGAUUUUUAUUAUUUGAUUAUGUAAUUAUUCUUAUAUGAAAUUGAUCAUGGGGUUUGUUUGGAUUGUAAGUUAUUUGAGAUAUUUUUACUGUAACACUUUUUGUGAUGUGAUGUAUGUGAGAUGAAAAGGUAAUUGGGAAGGUAAAAAGGUGUAUUGAAAAUUAUAAUGAUGAUGUAAGCAAAUAUAUUUGGGGAAAUAAAGGCCAAUUCAAACAAACUCCAUGUUAAAAACUAUAAUGGUUAAUUAGUAAAUUGAAAUUAUGUUUUAUGUUAUGCAAGUGACCCAUCAACCCGAAAACUUUAGGUUUGGGUCAAAUGUCCUGACUCGUUGCGAUUUGACGGAUUGUUUUCGAGUCAGCAAGCUUCAUGUUGUUGUAUCGGGAUCUCAAUCCGACAUGCGCAACCCAUUCCUGACCCGAUUACCACUCCUACAAAAGGCUUUUCACUUUUUCCAUGCCAGCUGCAAUAAAUUGCUCAAUUUGUUCUUCAGUACCGUACGAUUGAAGGUAUGGUUAAAAGCAAAGUUCGUGUGGUAAAAUAGUUCAGUGUAGUACUUACCUGCCUUAGGCUAAGUUUGGGAGUUUAGGAUAGAAAAGAGAAUAAGGGAAAACUUAAGUUAUGAGAGAAGAGAAGGGAUUGUUGUGUUGUUUGGGAGUUUUGAGAAUUAAUGAAAUGAUUUUGGAUAUAAAAGUCAUUAAAUAUUUGUUCAAGACAUUUUUAAAGAUAAAAUAGAUAUUUUAAAAAACUUUCAUAAGCUUCCUCCAACUUUCUCUUCAAUUUGGGAGGAAAACUUUACUUACUAUUUAUCAUCUUAAAUCCUUCCAUUUCUCUUCUUUUCUUUCCUAAUAAAAAUUAACAAACUAAGGAAAUGUUCACUUUCUCUUAUUUCCCCUUCUUUUCUCUCCAAAUAAUCCACUCCCAAACGAACCCUUAGGCUUUGUUGAAAAUGAAAGAAAAGCCAAAAAAAUAAAAAUAAAAAUUUUGGCAUGGCCCUUCCCAAAACUCGUAAAUCUAACCCAAAUAAAAAAAACUUGUAAAUCUAAUUUUGACAAGAUAAAACGCCUUAUUAGUUAAUGAAUUUGAUAGGAAUGGGUUUAUAGCCUCUAUGAGUGACAUCCAAAAAAUUAAUCAUAUUCACCACCUCUUUUACUACCAUUAAAUUUCUGUACACAAAAUCAUUGCCGUUUACAAAAUUUUGUUAAUUUGUACGUCGUAAAAUUGCUUUAGAAGUAGUCAAUUGCUCUAGCCAAUCGAUUAACUAGAUCAUAGCCAACUGCUUUAGAAAUAGUUACUUAUGCAUAAAAUUUACACAAAAUGAAAAUUUGAUAUUCAUAGGAGCAGUCUAAUGUAAAUUUAUACUAGCGUUAAUUUGGAAUACAUGGAGUGAAUAUUUGUUUUUUCAGUUCGAUAGUUGUGCUAAUUGAUUUUGGAACACAACUCGAAAAGAAUCACGCUUGACACUGUACCACUAUAUAUGUGUGUACCUGAAUCCGUCGUCGGUUGAAUGUUUCCAUUAAUAAAAAAUUAAUUAAUUAACGACCACAGCAAAGUCUCCAAGUUUAGGCGUAUAAAAGCAUUACAAGAGUAAUAGAUUGGCGGGAGUCUCUAGUUUGUUUAAUUCUCAAAUCUGAAAUUUUCAGUGGGCGGCCAGUUUGCCCAAAGUUGUCCGCCCGAUAUAGAGGUUGCGAAACGGAAGAACAUUUUACUCCCACUUCACACUAAACUCAAAUUUAUUUCCCAAAUUGCCCUCCCACACAGAACACCCACUCCUCUGUCUCGUUUCACGCACCUUUUCACAUCGUGUUCUCUCUCAUCAUCUUCUUCGUUUCUCUCUCCUCACACUCUCGAUGGAGAACCAGAGCCAAAGACGCCAUGAACAAUUACCAUCAAGUUCAGCAGCGAGGAGAAGCUUGAAGAGAAAGCUUGACGAGGAUUUCGAGGACGAUCGUAAGAUCGAAGCUCUCUCCCCUCCCGACGCUCACCAAGAUCUCGUCCGUGAGGUUCGCACUCAAGUGCAGAUUCUGGACUCUACUUUCUCUUCGAUCGAGGCAGAUCGAGCCUCCUCGAAGCGCGCCAUUCAGAUUCUCUCUGAACUCGCCAAGAACGGUAGCGCCGAACCUGCUGAUUUCUCGAUUUUCAUUUCAUUUCGUUCUUGUUUAAACAUGAUUACUGAAAGUUUUGGCUUUUAGGUUAAGAUUUCUUGUUCGUUUGAUUCGAUUUCGUAUUGAUCUUUGAGGAUUUGUGUUGCUACAGAGGAGAUUGUUAACGUGAUUGUGGAUUGUGGAGCGGUUCCGGCGUUGGUGCGGCAUCUCCAGGCGCCGCCGCCAGUGAGAGAGGGAGACAGUGCACCGAGACCUUACGAGCAUGAAGUCGAGAAAGGAAGUGCAUUCACUCUCGGUCUUCUUGCUAUUAAAGUAGGUGCAGAACUUUUGCUCUUCAUUUAUAGUCGGCUAUGCUUGUAUUUUCCUUGUGCAAUCAGUAUGUAAUCUGUCUUUUUACAGGUAGAAAAAUUAAUUACAGCAGCACUAAAAUUUUUAGGGAACUAAGUAAGCGUAAGCUUUAUAUAAUAGGAGAUUUUUUAAUUGGUAGUUGAACGCAGUAAAACUUAUGUCCAGCAUCUGAGAUUUUCUAACCUUUUUUGGACUAGCUCUUUGGAUGGUCCCAGAAAUUUGAUUGGUGUAAUCUCCUUCACUAUUUGUAGACUUUUUAUGAGCUUACGUACAGUUUAACAAGAAUUGGAUUAUGCAUCGGUAACCAGCUCGCAGAAUUUGGCAUCUGAGUACAAAAUCCUAGUAAUAGUUUCACUUGUACUUAAUCAAAGCAAUGAUGGUGAAAUGGAAAGUCGCUCUAACUUAUAUCAAAAGUUCCCAGUGACCAAGAAUUAUAAUUUAAAUUAACUAAUUAUCCACGGCAAAUGGUUACAUUUUGUAAGUAUGAGGCAUUUGCUUAAUGCAAUAGCCUCUAUUAUGGUAAUUGUAUUGCUAUUUAUCUUUUAAGAUGCUUGUCAUGUUCUCUUAUUCUCUACAUUAUUUAAAAUUAAUGUUCAAGUCAAGAAACAACCCUACAAGAUGAGACAAAACCAUUAAUUAAGAACACCUUUUGAGACAUUCAUAAACUUUGCAAUUAUUAUUGCUAUUAUUUUUUUUAUGCCUUUAAUGAAUUUGCUGCUCAAUGUUGCUUUAAUUUACAGCCAGAGCAUCAACAACUCAUUGUAGAUGCUGGAGCCCUGCCUCAUCUUGUGGACCUUUUAAAGAGACACAGAAGUGGUCAAAACUCUAGGGCAGUCAAUGGUGUUAUUCGGAGGGCAGCAGAUGCAAUCACUAAUUUGGCUCAUGAGAAUAGCAGUAUUAAAACUCGUGUUAGGUAUUUCCUUUUUCAGUCGGAGAUGCCUGUUAAUUCUAGUAUGUCAUCCUGACUUAAUACUUGUCAAUCAUAUGGUUAGGAUUGAGGGUGGUAUCCCCCCUCUUGUUGAAUUGCUCGAGUUCAUUGACACAAAGGUGCAGAGAGCAGCUGCUGGAGCUCUGCGAACACUUGCAUUUAAGAAUGAUGAGAACAAGAAUCAGGUUGACGAAUAGUCUGGUUUUUAUAAAUUUAUCUUGGCAGUUUUUUUUUCUUUGCUUAAAGAUUUAUUUUGAAUAAUUGCAGAUUGUGGAAUGCAAUGCUCUGCCCACACUUAUUUUAAUGCUUCGUUCUGAGGAUGCCGCGAUCCAUUAUGAAGCGGUUAGUUUCCCUGAAAAAUUCAUGUUUAUAUUGUGCUUCAAAUUUGGUAUCUCCAGAUGUUGAAGUCAUGCCUUAGCUGGCCACUAUUGUUAAGAUAGCAAAUCAAUGCCUUCUUCAGGUUGGUGUUAUUGGGAAUUUGGUUCAUUCAUCACCUAACAUAAAGAAAGAAGUUCUUCUUGCUGGAGCUUUGCAACCUGUUAUUGGAUUACUUAGGUUAGUCAUGAUCUUUUUUUAGUCAGCAUCAUUAGCUUCUUUUUUACUUCUUGUUUUUAUUUUAGAAGUUUCUGAUUAAAUUUCCUAUCUGAUUUUCAAGGCCAUGGAUGUUAUCCUCUUCAAGGUUUCACUUUCUCACUCUCAGUGUCGUUGCUUUUGUUAUAUUUUGACUACAGUUCCUGCUGUUCAGAGAGCCAAAGAGAAGCUGCUUUGCUACUUGGGCAAUUUGCUGCAACAGAUUCAGAUUGUAAGGUUGACAGAAGAAUAAAUUCCCUAUAUAGCUAGUAGAUGUUCUAUCAAUUACUCUCUUUUACCACUCCCGGUUAUUCUUUAGUUUAAGUUCAUGUACGAGUUUGCAGGUUCACAUUGUUCAGAGAGGUGCUGUGAGGCCAUUGAUCGACAUGCUGCAAUCUCCAGAUCCUCAGUUACGGGAAAUGUCAGCCUUUGCUCUGGGGAGGUUGGCACAGGUAGUUGUUGUUGAAGUUUGUCUUACUACUUGCUCCUUGGAUGUUCCUUUUUCUCUGUAGUGUCUAUAAGUUUAAUAGUUUUCAAUGGUUUUGCUAAGUGAUGUUUCCCUGCAGAUUGUUUCCUCUUUUACAUUAAGUUACCUGUUAUAGUUUCCUAUUCAUCCUUCAAAUCAAUGCGCAUUACACGUCUUCUGUGGAAUGGAGUCAGUUUUUGUGUGUUUCCUAUGUCUGUAUAAUUUUGGUUGGUUAUGUUAUGACUACUCUUUUUUUUGCAACGAUUGCUAGGUUGAUGUCAACUUUUCUAAGAGUUUUCCUUUGACUUCAAUUAUUUUAUUUCAUUUGUUUUGGGGUAUUAGGAUAUGCACAACCAGGCUGGAAUUGCUCAUAGUGGUGGCAUAAUGCCAUUACUGAAGCUUCUUGAUUCAAAAAAUGGAUCUCUGCAACAUAAUGCUGCAUUUGCACUUUAUGGACUUGCAGAUAAUGAGGUAUUUCGGACUUUCUAUCAGCCCAGCUGAAAUUUUGAUUUGUUAUUUGAAUUGCUUCUUUUACUUUUUUCACCUGCUAAGUUAUGUUUACCACCCUUGUAGGACAAUGUUGCAGAUCUUAUUAGGGUUGGAGGUGUUCAGAAACUUCAAGAUGGAGAAUUCAUUGUGCAAGUCUGUACCAAUUUUGCAAUUUACCCACUGGAUUUUCUCUCUUUCUGAACUGAUUUUACAGUUAUAUAGCAUGUCAGCUGAAAGAUUUGAAUUGGUUUUAACUUUCUUGCCUUCUGCUGACAUAGAAUUCUUUUAAAUGCAGCCAACUAGAGAUUGUGUAGCAAAAACGUUGAAGAGAUUAGAGGAGAAGAUCCAUGGGCGAGUGAGUCCUUUUUGGUAGAGUCCACUUUAGAUGGUGAUGUCAAUUUGAACAAUCUAAUUUCUGAUUUUAGGUGUAAAUGGAAUUAUUGAUUACUUUCAGAAUUUUGGCUGUCUAUUGGCCAAGCCAUUGAAUGUCAUUUACUUGCUGCAAUGGAUUUUCUAAUUUUGAACAGCUUAAUUUACAAAGUCAAUGUUGUUGAGAGGUAACCUGAAUAACACUAUUAUGUUUAGAACAAUGGGGACAAGUUACUAUUGAUAGUUGGGAGUUUAUUGCAAGCAUUUUGGUCAUGCUUUCAUAGGAAUUAGCAUCUGCUUUAUUUGUUGUUAUGAAUCUGUCCCUCUUGAUUACUCCUGUUUUAAUUGGUUAUAUAUAACUCUGCAGGUAUUGAGCCAUUUGUUGUAUUUGAUGCGUGUUGGAGAGAAGGUUGUACAACGACGCAUUGCUUUGGCCCUUGCCCAUCUUUGUUCUCCAGAUGAUCAGAGAACAAUUUUUAUUGAUAACAGUGGUAAUUAUCUGUUCCAAAAGCUUUGUAAAAUUGUUCAUAUAGACUUUUGAGAGUCCAUUUUUAUUCUUUUAUAUGCAGGUCUUGAGCUGCUUUUGGAGCUUCUUGAAUCGACGAACUUCAAACACCAACGUGAUGCCUCUGUUGCUCUGUACAAAUUGGCUAGCAAAGCUAGCACACUUUCUCCUGUUGAUGCUGCUCCUCCAUCACCGAUACCCCAGGUGAGUUGUGGUGGUUUAUUUAUCCCUGCCAGUUUCAGCUCAUGGACUCACCAAUAGCUCAAUUGACAUUGCUUAGCUUGUUGGAAUUUCUGAAGGCUAUAUCUCUCCUGUGCUGUUUCUAUGUCUCCUUGUGGUGAUGGAAAAACCAGUGUCAUUUCAGUAAUUGAUGUUUGUGUGUGUUAUUAAUAUAAAAUUCUGAUGCCUCUAUUGAACUGUCACAAAAAGAGGAUCUACCAGUGGUGUUGAUGAGGCCCUCUGGAUUAUCCCUUUCAAUAUUGAUGAAACCGUUUGUUGGUUUUGCAUUUGCUACUCUUCCUAUUUUCACCUUGUAUAAAGUUCUGUACAAUCACUGAAGCACUAAAGUUCAUGCUUAUACCUUGUCAUCGAUUCUGAAAAGGAUUUGAUUUCCUAUCUAAUAGUGUGAAGUUGCAAACUCUAAAUAGUUCACCAUUCUGCCUGGGCGAGAUUUGACAAUUUAGCCAAUCAUGUUGUCAUUUGUUGUUGCAGGUGUAUUUGGGAGAGCAGUAUGUAAAUAAUUCUACGUUGUCUGAUGUCACAUUCUUAAUUGAAGGUAAGCUAACAUGCUGUGCCUCUGGUGCUUUUUAAAUAUGUUCUUGUUAAUUCAGUUUUUCUGAUUGCUGUUGUCUUCACUUGUUAGGGAAACGGUUUUAUGCUCAUAGAAUUUGCUUGCUUGCUUCUUCUGAUGCUUUCAGAGCGAUGUUUGAUGGCGGUUACCGGGUGAGUUUAAUACUAGUUUGAAAAUUUAUUUGUUUUGCAAUUUUGUUUUGUUGAAAUGCCGAAGUCAUGCCAAAACCGUUUUAAAUACAAUGUUGAAACAUAUUCCUGUUGGUUGCUCAACAACGGCUCUUUUGGAUGUCUGAGCAUAGAUUUGGUCAUUGGAAUCUGUGCAAGCUAUCUAGAUAUGUAUUGACACAUGAUUUGUCCUUCAGGUUGAUUCGCUGAAAAUUAUUUUAACAGUGUUCUUAAUGGUGUUGUAGGAGAGAGAUGCCAAAGAUAUAGAGAUUCCUAAUAUUAGAUGGGAUGUUUUUGAGUUGAUGAUGAGGUGUGUCUUUCUUUAGCAAAAUUUUUCAACCUCUCUUUAAGUUGAAGGAAACGAUGAAUUUGCAAAAUGCUAUAUAUGCGUACAUUCUCUGUUGCAGGUACAUAUACACUGGAUCAGUCAAUGUCAAUUUGGAUGUGGCACAGGAUCUUCUGAGAGCUGCUGAUCAGUAUCUUCUGGAGGGCCUCAAACGAUUAUGUGAAUAUUCAAUUGCUCAAGUAAGUUCAAUUUACAAGAGGAAUGUCUCUUUUGGGCCUGUCAUAUAUUAGGUCUGAUGGUUUCUUCUUGUGUUUGGAAGGAUAUCUCGGUGGAAAACGUUUCUUUGAUGUUUGAGCUAUCAGAGGCAUUCAAUGCUAUGUCAUUACAGCAUGCUUGUAUACUGUUUAUCCUCGAGAACUUUGACAAAUUAAGUCUCAUGCCAUGGUAUGGUACUAUCGCCUCCUGUCUCUGACUUUUCCGGUAAAGAAUGCUUGAUAGAUUUAUUACCAUAAAAAGUUAAUUAAAAAAAUUGAAAGAAACUGAAAAGUGCUUGGUUCCUGCAAGUCUUACUUAGGAGUGUCUUCGAAGUGGUUGGCUUGAAGUCGUCACCACUUGGAGGUUUUGCUACUGGAUUACGUGUUGGGUCUUGAACUGAUUGCAUCAUGCUCUGCUGUCAACGAUAGACACUGCAAACUAAUCAAAAUGAAACUACAGAAAAUUAAGAGGCACAAAGGCCUUCACUAUUGCCUUUUCAAUCUAUAAGCAAAUGUUGAUGCCUUAUGGGUUUCAGGUUUUUUGAGCUGCAGGUAUUCGCAUCUGAUCCAACGCAUUUUACCAGAGACACGGCAGUACUUCUUAAAGGCGCUUAUCCGGCCUACCCAAGCUGAAUUACGGAGAUAGAUAUUGGGCCAGUUUUGUUCUUUGACUUAGUUGUGUUGACAGAGAAAAAGAAUGUACAGAUGGAAUAGGUGAAAAGCAACCAUUGAUUCUCUUGAUCUGGAUGCAUCGGCAUUUCAUGGUUGAAUGCAAUCUCCAGAAUUUGACUGAUUCAUUAUCACUGCACAAUUGGCAGUUGUGAAGUCUCUCAGAUAGAAGUGCACAGCUGAGGGAAGCAGAGGAGCCUUCAAACAGAACUGUAUUUGGUUAAUGUGAAGAAUGUACCUCGCACAAGCUGAAUAGCCAAAUGCAUUUUGUACCUGAAAAAAAGCUAUAUAUAUAUAUAUUUUUUUAAAAAAAGCAGAAUGGUUUGGUAACUUCAUGGGUGUUGUCCAAUAAAUUAACAACUGUGUGAUUGACAAGCUGAAUUGGCUCUUAUUUUUAAAUAUUUAAAUGUGAAUACGAUUUGCGAAAGGAUUAGAAGACAGCAGCAUUAACUGACCUAGCCAAAGGAAAACUGAGGAAAAUCAGAAAUAGAGGGGACUGACAAUCAGAUUGCGGCCAAAGAGGAUGUGAGAGCAAUGCCUCGUACGCUGUAAUCUUUAUGGUUUAUCUGCGAAAGCUAUCAUCGUUUGGAUGGCGUUGUGGGAGGAUUACAUAAACGGUGAUUUUGACCAUGAGAGUGCAGUUUUUGUUGAUAGGAUGAGAUGAGUGUCAGAGUCGUCAUUGUCUCGUUUUUUUCCUACGGUCUCUAUCUGAUAAAAUCCUACUCUCGUUGAUGUUGUGCAGCCUUUAUCGCUGUUUAUGUUGUUUAGUACUACUCUUUUUAAUUUUCAUUUUGUACCGAUAAGCAUAUUAAAAGAUGGGAUGUAUCCAGUAUAAAUUGUUGAAUUAUCUUUCACCCCCUAAUGAAAAGUUUAAGUUUCUGUAGCCGAAGAAUUGCUAAUCCCUUGUAACGUGUCCUUGGCCCUCACAUAAGUUAUUUUGCACCCAGACAAAUAAAAUCUAAAUUAAGAAUUAUCUUCUGUCAUCUCCAUUUAAUCAAGAGCUGUAGGCCCAAACCAUUUAGUAUAUAAUUACAAUAACUUUGUCUCAAACAUUUGAGAAACUUGGGACUAGCUUUUGGUAUUCUCAGCCCGAAUAGACAUCAAAGAAAUACAGAAGGGAAGAGAAAAACUCAAACCAUUAGAUUGUCGCCUACCAUUCUGGCAGUGCGAAUUAAAUGCACUGCUCUACAUAAAACAGCACGUUCUGUACAGUACAAAAGAGAACUAUGGAAAUAAACCGAAUUUUCACACAAGAAGAAUCAUCACUACAACAGCUGCAAAAAACAUGGUACUAGAGAAGAAUAUCGUCAAAGAAGCAAGGACAAUCUAGAGCAACCCAAAUUUUAUUUACUAAAGAAUGAUCUUUCAUAUUGAUAACCUUUGACUCGUGGCAGCAAAUUCAAGUUGGUGUACUAGCAUGAAACUGUCAAGAAUGUUAUAGUUCCACACGAUGAAAAUCUUCAUCUAGCAGCUGUAGCACAAGUCGAAUCUUCGUUGUUUGGCCAACUGCCCUUUAUUCCGCAUGCCUGAAUUGAGCGUUCGAUCUGGACACCUCCACUACCUUCCAUUUCCAACAGCGCACAGUACUUCCCGAAGGUAUCACUGCUUACAAAAAGCUGAAAAUCCACACCAAAUAAAAACUUCAUUUCCAACUUGUUCAACUCUAAUGUGCCCACACCUCCAACUCUGGCAUAAUAUGCAUUAUUGUAAAACCUGAAUGUAACAUCAAAUCAGAAAUUACCAAAGACAAAUAAGCCAAAAGUAACAGGCGCAGGGAGAUUAGUCUGGCAAAGUUUGGACACUCCCUGUGUUAAAAAAAAAAAAAAAAGCCAAAAGUGCAACGCGAGUUAAAAAAUAACAGAGUUACAAUAUGCUCUGAUGAAACAGUGAGAGGCAACGAGUUGUCCUCAAUUGAAAGUCAAGUUCUCCAAUCAAGAACGGAAUUAUAGCUUAAUAACACUCCUUUUCAAUGGAUUGUCUUGCUUUCCAAUCCGUUGUGAAAAUAAUGGACAAAAACCACAGACCAUUCCUUUCAAUAUCUACGAGGAAAAAAGUAGUAAUAACACCCCAUGCUCCACUAUCCCCCAACAUUUUGAUAAGAUUUGGUGGGCUCCAGAAGUCUUCCAACUCUUUCUGAAAUCUCACGCUUAGAGAGUCAAAGCCAUUUAAUUUCAAAGGAGAUCAAUUUCGUUUCUAGGAAGCAAACAGAUAGGUAGAAUAUAACGGAAACUGCUUACAUUAUGAGUUUGAGUAAACUUACGCAUCAUCAAUAUAUUUUGCUGCCACCAUGACACUGGUGAUGAGAAGGCGGUGAACAUUAAGAGAAGUUACAACAGCAUUGGUGCGCUUAAUAAAUCUCUCCACAUAAAUAUAUGCAACAAUGAAGCAGGAAGGACUGCAGCAUGAGUACUUAAAAAUUCGUUCAAUGUAUAGUUCAAUGCCUAAAGAGGGUGCUUUUGAACCGUGAAAUACCGUAAUAACGUCUUUAGUUUGUGUAGUCUCAAGAAACCUUUCAUUCUUCUGAACAGACCUCUCAAGAAGUGAGGACAGAUAUGAUAGCAGUCGGGGUUUUCCUGUACUUCCCUUCCCAGAUUCUCCGAGCCCCAGUCUUAAGUAAGUCUCAGAACACGCAUUCUCAGUUUUAAGAGCCAAUGUUUCCAUGACCAGAGAGAAACACUGCAACAAAAUGACACUAAUGACUGCGAGUUCUAAAUAUAACACAUUGCUUCAUGGAGAAAGGAGAGAAUUAUGAAAUGUUUUCAAUAUAUAACUGGAAGUGGAUCUAGUUCAUGUUCAUGUUCAUAUUCAAAACUGCAUUUUCAAACAGCAUAUCAAGCCGGAUGGAUGCAGAAAAUGACUUUCAGCAUGAAAGAAAUCAUUUUUUGGUCAUGGGGUAAAUCACCUCAUGCAAACAUCAAACGAUGAUUCUGAAUUCCAAAAUAUUGGAUUGUAGGCACACAGCAGACUCCAGAAACUAGUCAGCGCAAGACCACUUGUACUCCUAAAAUUCCAGAAUGGAAGUUUAAAUAAGACACCCAAAUCAACUUUGUUACAAGCAAAAGUUUCAGAAAAUCUAGAAACUCAAUUCAUAUCACCCAAUUUGUUGAAGAUACAUAUUACAAGUGAUCCAAAAACAAGUAGUUCUAGGUCAGGAGACCAUUCUACUAUAAUCCAUUUUAUCAUUUCUUUCUUUUCCAAAUGUUAUAUCUACCAAAUAUAGAGUUAUGGCUCCAUUGAUCACCAUAACGGAGUAUACUAGGAUUUCUUCCUCAGGAAAUAACCUAUUUUGUCUUUUCUUUCCUUUUCCCACAAUCCACGUUUAUGUAGAAUUCUGGCUAACCAUGUACCACUCCUUUAAUCAUAGGAAUCAAGCACAAGGACUGCAUGUGGACCUAACAACUAGAUAAACCAACGAACAAAAGGAGGCAUUUUCAAUGAAAAAGAAACAUAAAAACACCAGCAAUUUUGUUAGAGCGAAUAAAUCAGACUGAAAGUUGACAGCAACGACACCAUAAACUCUCACUUCUAUAGAACAGAUAUCAGCGUGCAAGCAAAAUCGUUUAUGAAGUUCUCCUGUCAAAAUAGCAAAAGUUUGAAUGAGCUAAAACAUGUGAUUGGGUUAAAAUAUUACGGACACCAUCCCAUUUUACUGAACCUCCAUUAAUUCUCAAUGCCCAGGAAAAGAGAACAAAGUUUUUCUUACACUCUGUCAUGGCAAUAGUCUUAAAUUCGCUGCUACUUUUAUCUCAGAAUGCUGCCAGUCAAAAACACACACACGCACUCAACCGCUCUCACAUAAACUACAAAAGAACAGGACAACCUUCUUAAAACUUUGAACAAGUUUAAACAGAGGUUUAAAGGAAUCAUAUUAAUUUAUGAUUAUAUAGGAGUACGGGAAAUUCUAAACUUUCCCCUUCGUUACCAUCUGUUGACUUCUACCAGGUUUCCCAUUCUGGAUGCGCUUUAAAGUAUUCUUGAAAUUUUUCUACCAGGUUUCGCAUCUGACUCCUUGCCAGAAAUUCUUCACAAACACCAUCCGGAUAAACAACUUAGCAAGAAAUGUAGAGUCUUUAUUAACUCUACAGCCUCCAGGGUGGAGUAGUAAAGAAGCAAAUCUAACUGGCCAAUGGAAGAGAUAAAGCAAAGCUCGCAAGAACAUUUAAAUUUUUUUUAAAAAAAGGAGGCCCAUUGACAAAUAGCGCUCCCCAAGAUGACCCGCAUUAACUGUCAAAGAAACCCCAUUCAAUAUGAAGAAAUUAAAACAAUUCCAAAUGCAUAUGGUGUGAAGAAUGAGAGUAGCUCACACAAAUUUUGGAGAGAUCUGAUAUCUGAAUCUUCAGUUCAAUCUUCCACUACGUGAGGAGAGCACCAUUCACGAUGAUGACAGGAAACAGAUACUCGAGUCACAGCAUUAGGAAAAGAGACAGAGACAGGGAAACAGAAGAGAAUAAGCAGCUCUCUCUGUUUCCUGUCUCUGAGAGAGGAAGGUACUAUACCCGCUGGAGCACAACCCCACUUUUUUGGUCUCUGUGGCCAAAUAUUUCUCUACAUGUUUUUUUAUAUGCAGGGCAAAGGCUUAAAAAGGAGGAUUGAUUAUUCAAUGAACACGCAAGUAAUACACCUGCAGUAAUAUUUCUUUCUUUUCUUCCUCUGUUUCCUUUUCCCCUUUUCUUUCUUUUUUCUGUUCUUUACUUCCGAGUUGGUUGUCUUUUAGGUAGCUUCACAUGGAAAAUUAAACUUCUCUCUCUCAACUCCCCAGAUCCCAUUAAAAUUUUAUUGCAAAGGUAAAUACUACUGUUGAAAACCCCAUCUACAAUCAAAACUUGGAUCCGGUUUUUUCAACCCAUUUCGGCUCUCGAGCUCUUCCGUGCUCUCUCAUCAUCUCUCUCUCUCUCUCUGCAAUGUUUAUGGAAGCAAAGCUGUCGGUGGUUUUCUUUUUCUUUUUUUUUUUUCCAACUACUACCAGUAUUUGUGUCGUAAUCGGCUUCAUUGCUACUGUUUUGCAGCAGAAAACCAUUUCCGGGCGUGUUGCUCUUAUCCCUAUGUCAUUUUCUACUCUCUUUUUACACAAUUUGACCCCAAAUCAUUUGUUCUGAAAUUUGAUCACCGACAAGUAUUAAAUUUGACAUGUAAAAGCUAAAGAGUGGGAUUCCAUCUAAACAUGAAAAAAGGCAUAUGCGAUUAUUGUUUUCAACUGCAAACACACAAUUAAGUCUGAAAAUAGUAGAAUAAGGAGUAAUUUUUUUAGUCUUGAUUGAUAUCAUAUCAACCAAAGUAAUUUUUGUAGUAGGGAUGAGGCUUUCAGACACAAUAAAAAUCUUCAACCCGAAUUUAGUACUACGAGAACGGAACUAAAAGAGGGUUUUGUAUUUUGCCUCUCCGACAAUAACACGUCAAACUACAAUUUACAGUGCAUUACAAGAUUUCUGGAAGCAGCUUCCAGUUUAACCUUAAACAGCUCAUUGAGACGGAGAAGGUGUUGAGUACUGAGGCCGUUUUCUUGCAUGACAACGCUCAACGUUUUUGCCUCAACAUAUGCAAGUAUCAAGACUUUGAAGAUGAAAAUAUAUGCAUUAUAAUUUUUUUUUUUGCCUAUUUAACACUUCAACAACUAUAUCAUAACAAAUAUUUACUGGGCAUUAGUUGGACAAAACCUUAUAAUCCUUGUCCCCCACAAAAUUUGAUAAAUGGACUGAUACCUACCGCAACAUAUGAUUUGAUUGUUGCAAUUUUGGAGGUGCUGAAAAUCACGCUUUCAAUUUCCAUCACGGUUUUAUUUUAUGCCGCGAAAUAAGCCCCAGAUAGUGGGUCACUUGUCCAAAUCCAAAUCAUUGACAACCAGAAAUCUUUUUCCUUUUUUUUUUUUUUUGGGAAUAAACUAAUUGGGGGUGAUUAGAUUCCCAUUUCCGUCCACAUCAACCCGGUUACAAUCUAAAAUAGUACUACUAGCACUACCAUACAUAAUACAGCUACGCUUCCAUCUUCUUCUUCUUCUUCCUUUUUUUUUUUUUUUUUAAUAUAAAAAAAAAACGGUGCUCAUGAGUGGGGAUGCUAUUUAAGAAUUUAACAUAGCUCAAAUGUUAAUUUUUUUAAUUUUUGAAGGAGCUUGAUCAUGAUUUAAUCAUCAGGAACGACUUCCAUAAUCAAUCACCAACACAAAUAUUAAUGCUUUCCAGGCACCAACAAAACAAACAACUCAAUGAGAGCCCAACAACUCACUACUUGGGGCUAGCACUCCACACAACACCACACCCGCCCCCAAUCAUUAUUUGAUUCAAGUUGGCUGCUUAGAGCUUGGGCUUGUCUUUAUUUAAUUAAUGGGCUCACAGCGAACAGAUCAUGGGCCUAGACAAAAUCUCUCAAACUUUUAUCAACGAGGUGCUGCAGUCCAUCACCAGUCCACCUAUGUACCUCCAACUCAACUGGGUGUCGAAUAUUUUUUGUUUGAUCGAUAAUUGGAGAGAAAAAGGUUGGCGGCAGCGGCAGUGGGAGUGGUCCGAGUGGAGGAGUUUUCAGUCAAUUCAAGUGACCGAGGAGGAGGAAUAUUUCUGUCGAUGCGGAAAUCGCACGCAGUCUCGGUUCCCCACACUGGUCUACUAAGUACCCACUGCUAGUAGUACGUAUGAACCAUAUAAAUUACUGUAUGGAAGUGGUGGUGGUGGUGGUAUAAUAAAUAGAGAAUUUGUUUUCAAGUAGAGGGAGUAAUGAUUCGUCCAUUUUCCCUCCAAAAAGUAGACAGGAAACAGAUGCUGCUGGAUGCUGGAUGCUCCUCCCUUCCCUCUUCUUUUCUCGCUUCCUUUUCAUUUUAAUUUCUUCGUCGGCCCGCCGCCCACCAUCUCAUAAUCAACUCCGCAGUAUUAGGAAGAUUAUUCACUUUUUCUUCGCUCCGCAUCUCCUCUUUCAUUUUGAUUUUCUAGGGUUUCCAACAACUCGCCACCACCAUUUUUCGCAACCCCUGCAGUCCUUUUGUCCAAUUCCUCCUACCGGUACUACUUUUGUUUAUCAGUUCUUUCCUCCUCCUCCUUUAUGUUCCCUUAAAUUUAUUGUGUUAAUAUCAAUAUUAUCUCUGCUAUGAAGACGUUCCGUUGCUUUUUUCAUUUUCACUGGAUCUACUGGAAUUUGUUUAAUCUGCUGUUACACCAAGCCUGCGGUGGCAUAUUUCUGCAUCUAUUUGCACUUAAUGCGGGCGAAAUGUAACUUUAUUUCACAUGUUUGUUUUCAUUUUUAUUUUUGCUGGAGUUGUCCGAAUUGCAAUUUUGUGUUUUUCACCCCCUCGCAUGGCAAGAGUUUGAGUAGAACAUUCAUAAAUCAUAAUUCUCUGUCAAUUCUGCAGCCGCAUAUGUAGCUUGACACGUUUGCAUGACUUACUGAUGAUUUAAAGCUACUGCUUGGACAAAUCUAGAAGAACUUUAAACUUGUGGAACAAUAACGUUGGUAUUGAUUAAUGAAUAUGAUACGGUGUUUAAUCCCGGAAUUAAAUACAUUAGCUGCAGGCAUAUUCUCUAUUCUGGUGUAAAUUACUUCCUCGACAUCUAAAGAAGCUUAAACUGAUAUACUGAUGUCUUUAUUUGCACUGAUUCCUGCUUUGCGGCCCAAAUGAAGGAGAGGAAGUUUACUAAAACUUUUGAACCAAAUUCCCAGAACCACACACGCACAUAAUAUUUAAUAACUCGUUAGUGUUUUUAUGCACUGCUUAUUCUUAACUGAUCUUAAAAAGCAUUUUCUCUUUGUGACCAUGGACUUUCUUUUUGUACUGUUAGUCAUUUAUUUUAUAUUCUGUAUCCUGUAUAUAAUUUCCCUUCCUGUCCUCCUUUUACCAUGUGACAUCAACACGAUAACAAGAAGAAUCAAGUUUUGUUAAAGUGGCUGGCUUUUGUUGUUCAGAGAAAAACAUAUUAGGGGAUACUAGAUGAUUUGUUUUGGAGGUGUUGGGAAGUUUAAGCAUUAGGAAAUACUAUAUAGGUUAUUUAAAGUGUUUUGAGAUGACAAAUCCAAGAUAUAACAACUGACGUUGAACAGUUUUCUUAGCUUGAAUUUCUUCAGUUUUAGGGAAAGUUUUGCUUUCCUAGCCUGUAAUAGACUAACUUCCACCUGGACUUUCUAGGGAAAAUGUUUUGAUGCUUUAUUGGUUAGUGUUUGAGACAGGUGAGCUUACGGACACAAAUUGAUAUGUGAAGAGAAUGGUGGAGUAGAUUCUCCAGACCACACUCUUUUAAAGCCAGUAUUAUUUUCUUUAUGAAUAUAAUUUAAAGUUUGGGUUGGCCUAAUUGCUAUCUUGGUUGCAUCAGUGGCAUUGUUGGUUGUGCACUUCCACUGUUCUGUUGGUUCUAACACUAAACCCUCUAUUAUUUGGCAUAAGUUAUAAUGACCUUCUGGUAACUUUUGAUAUUGAAAUGGCCUCUUCAAUCAAGUGUUGUAUUCAAUUGCUAAUAUUUAUGUUUGAAGAGUAGUAGAGUCUUCUUUUUCAGGUAUUGCUGCUUUCUUAUAUUUUGUUUAUAUCAAGACUCUUCUUUUUGUAACAAUUCAAUUGUUUACAAGCUGACGUUGUGGCUGAACGUGUGUUUACAGGUUUUCUUACAUGGAUUCUAAAACUUUCUCUAUGAAAUUGUGGCCCCCUAGCCAAAGUACCAGGCUAAUGCUUGUAGAAAGAAUGACUAAGAAUCUUAGCACUCCAUCAGUUUUGUCCAGAAAGUAUGGUCUUUUGAGUAAAGAGGAAGCUGAGGAGGAUGCUAAGCAAAUUGAAGUCGUUGCAUUUGCUUCUGCAAGCCAGCACUUUGAGAAGGAGUCAGAUGGAGAUGGAAGUUCUGCUGUGCAGCUCUAUGCUAAAGAAUCCAGCAAGCUUAUGCUGGAUGUUAUCAGAAGAGGACCCAGAACAAAGGAAGAUGGAAAUUUUAUUGAGUCUGAGAGAGUUAGAGUAUCUCAUGAAACAGUAUUUGACAUAUCUGGAGGUCGUCGGGCAUUUAUUGAUGCGAAAGAGGCUGAGGAGUUGUUGAAACCACUUGGGGAUCUUCACAACAAAUUUACCAAGAUCUGUUUCAGCAAUACAAGUUUUGGCUUGGACUCAGCACAUGUUGCUGAGCCUAUAUUGUCAUCUCUCAGAGACCAACUGACAGAAAUAGACCUGUCAGAUUUCAUUGCUGGAAGGCCGGAGACAGAAGCCCUCGAAGUCAUGACCAUCUUCUCGUCUGCUCUGGAAGGGAGUAAUCUCAGGUACCUCAACCUUUCAAAUAACGCUUUGGGCGAAAAAGGUGUUAGGGCAUUUGCUGGACUGCUAAAAUCGCAACAUAAUUUGGAGGAGCUCUAUCUGAUGAAUGAUGGUAUUUCAGAGGAGGCUGCACGUGCAGUCUGUGAGCUAAUUCCUUCAACUGAUAGGCUUAGGGUUCUCCAUUUUCAUAAUAACAUGACAGGAGAUGAGGGUGCCGUUGCUAUUUCUGAACUUGUGAAGCAUUCGCCUCUGCUGGAGGACUUCCGAUGUUCGUCUGCAAGGGUAGGAUCUGAAGGAGGGGUUGCCCUUGCAGAGGCUCUUGGAUCAUGUACCAGUUUAAAGAAGCUUGAUUUGCGUGACAAUAUGUUUGGCGUGGAAUCUGGAAUUGCUUUAAGCAAGGUUUUGCGAAGAUUUUCUGAUCUCACUGAAAUCUACCUUAGCUACUUAAAUUUGGAAGAUGAGGGGUCUCUAGCUCUUGCUAAUGCUCUAACGGAAUCUGUUCCAUCAUUAGAGGUUCUGGAGAUGGCUGGAAAUGAUAUUACUGCUGAAGCUGCUCCUGCUUUGGCUGCCUGUGUUGCUGCAAAGCAGUUUCUUACAAAAUUAAACUUGGCUGAGAACGAGUUGAAGGAUGAGGGUGCCAUCCUUAUUGCCAAGGCUUUGGAAGAGGGUCAUGGACAGUUAAAUGAAGUAGAUUUGAGUACAAACUCAAUCAGAAGGGCUGGAGCCCGGUGCUUAGCUCAAGCUGUUGUAAGCAAACCUGGAUUCAAGUUGCUGAACAUUAACGGUAAUUUCAUAUCUGACGAAGGGGUUGAUGAGGUGAAGGAGGUAUUUGAGAAUUCUUCUUGUGUCCUGGGACCUUUGGAUGAUAACGAUCCUGAAGGAGAAGACUAUGAUGAAGAGGCUGAAGAAGGUGAUGAUGAUGAGGGUGAAUUGGAAUCUAAGCUCAAGGGCCUCGAAAUUAAGCAGGAGGAGUAAUAUUUAGUACAAAUCAGAAACGCAUCCUUGAUCUUCUUCCUUAUCCAACUUUGUUAUAGCCAAUGUGCUUUAGUGGACUUUUGUAUCGUGUAUGUUAGUUCUCUCUUCUCUGUAUAUCUUGCUUCAUUCAUGAGUAGUCAGGGACUUGCAACUCGUAAAGUUUUUUUUUUACCGUGGCGUGCCAUUAAAUUCCACUACAUUGGAUCAAACUCAUCAAUUUUUUUUUUCCUUGAAUGACCUUGCUAUAAUUUUGGGUUUUAUUUCAAUGAAAAGUUAUUCUGGUUUUUUUGUCUUUAUUUAUCGGGGUUUAGCAUUUGGAUUCAAUUUCUCUGCAGAUGCUUGCAAGGCGGAAUAUUCAGCAACAUUUAGAUAAAUGAAUGACCAUUGCCAAGUUUUAUUUAUUUAUUCUUGUGAACGUGCUUAUUUAGUCGUUCAGGAGUCUAUUCAUCUGCUCAGAGAUCCCAUUUAUGUCGCUCGGUUAAGGUGAAUAAUUGAUUUUUUUUUUAUUUACUUAAAAUCGUGGAAUCUCUUGUCAAUCGUCAUAAGAGAGAUAAGCACAUUUCAUUAGGUGAAAUACACAAAACUAGCACCUAAAUAAUUUGUAAAAUAGUCUGGUCCUGUUUGCUUUUGGGUGGAUUCCCACUGAAUUUGCCAAAUUUAUGGCCUCUUACACGAUGUGGAAAUAUUUCUACCGAAAAUUUGCCCCGUCAAGCAAUCUGGAGGACGCUCAGAACUUAGAAAUCAAAUUACACGGCUACUGGUACUUUCAGUGA